rnacentral:lncRNA from 1 species
UAAAUUUAAUUUUAGAUAACCAAAAUAAAUAAAGGUGAAUAAAAUCUUUUUAUUCGUGUGGGAACACUGUAAAAUGAAAUCUAGUAUACAUAAGAAUUAAAAUAAUCUGCUCCACAAAAUCUUGUUCUUUCCGUUUUCAGUGAGUUUAGAGUUAUGCACAUGUUCACUAUUGAAUUCAAAGGUGUACAAUACACAAGGUUUGUUUCCUAUCUAUCAAAAAUAUAUAAAAGUUUGCCUCCCAAUAACUUUACUACCUAAAAGCAUCAGCACAAUUCAAGUUUUUAUUAAUGAUUAUUGGAUAUCAACUUAGCAAUUUUUUUUUCUUUGUCAGGAUUUUGGUAACAGUAUAUGUAAGCUGUUACCGCUCUAGCUCAGUUUGUACCAGGAAAGUUCUGCUGCAAUUCUCUAUUGAAUAGACCGUUGCUAGAAUGUGGUCUGACAGCAAAGUGUAAGUGAAUAAACAUAGUUUCGCAGUUUUGUCUCUGACUGUAAACGUUAAGUUUAGAAUGAUGUAUAUCUUUGAUAUUAAUGACGUUUAAUAUUCUUUUCAGAAUAUAAAUUAUGUUGUGCUUAUCAUCAGACUUGCUGCAAAUGGGACGUACAACUCUGAUGGAACCCAAAGGUACAUGAUAAAAAAGUUGUUUAAGUAACACACAAGAGAGAUAUUGACAUUAUGGUCAUAGAUCAUACGGAAAGAUAUUAUUUUUCAUUGUUAGGAUUUUGACUAGGCUCAGUGCUCAUUUGGGAAGUGAAAAGUUUCGAAGGUCUCUUUGUUCAAGUCAAGAAGUGAAAGCUAUUGAACUAUGUAUGUAAUAGCUUGUAUUGUUUACUUUGGGUCCUAGGCUCCCUCGACUUUAAAAUGCCUCAUUUGGGUCUAAUGUCACUUCUUUUUAUUCCAACAAUCAAUAUCUUUCUUGCGUUUUGUUGAUGUGGUAUAUGCCUAGGAUGCUACAAUGUUGUUCUUUUUACUCUGGAUACCAAGACGGAAAGCAAGAGACGACACAAUUAUUGAACUUUCUGUAUUGAGAAAUCGGAAUUUCUGGACGCAAAUGGUUAGAGAAAACUGUAAAUGCAAUGUAAAAUGCAUAAGAAACAGGGGAGAUUUUGAGGAGUGAGAUUUGUUUGCGUAAUUUUUUUAUGUUGUUAUUACUGAUUAAAUGAUGUGUGUGUAUUUCAGUUCAUACUGCUUAAAAUUUCUUCAUUUGAGGAUGGCGCUCCUAACAAGAUUUUCUCCAUACCCAGGGCACUGCACCACAACCCAUGUUGGUGUACACAAUUAAUCCUGGGAGCCUUUCCCCUCAAGCUCUCAAGAAAAGGCAACAAAUCGUCACUCAAAUAAAAUUAGAAGCGCGAAAAGUUUCGUAUGAUACACCACUAAUCUCCACUGCUCGCAAUGGAUAUAAGUUACUGCUCUUUGCGGAUUGAGACUGACACACAAUAAACUAAUCUGGCACAUAUGGACACAAGUCUCCACUCACCCAUUAUCUUUGAUUAUAUUGGACCACCUUAGACACGAACAGUCCCUGUAAAUUUUCCAUAAACAAAGCAUUUGUAUUGGGUUCGAAAGUGAUUAGGGUGUCAUGCGUAAGCUUACAAUUGCAUAUCAUAUGUUUGAUAAAUCAGAUGACAAAAACUUAUACUAAAAAUCAAAAUAUUAUUAUAUGAUUUGAUCAAUUGGCCUACAUAUUUUAAAACUAAUAAAAAGACAUUAAAACAAUAGAGGGUAUAAUCUCCCCAUAAAUAAGACUAUCUAAACGACUACAUUGUGGAUGUUAUUAUGUUCAUAGUGUGAGAAGAUGGGUCUUCUAUUUAUAGGACAUUUAGAAUAAACCAAAUAUCAAAAAGAAUUAUAUUUUCAUUUCAGAAAAAGUUCAAGCAUGUAUGGUAAUACUUUAACUUUUCUUUUAAGAAAAAAUAAACUUCAAAUAAGAUAAGAAAAUCAGGGCAAAAUCCUAACAAUUUGCUCAAAAAAAAGAAAAAGAAAAAGGAAAACAGAGAGAUUACAUAGUACCACACAUAGCAAGGCAGCAAGGCUAAUAUGACGCAAACAAGGGCGACCAUAGUAGACAAGUAUGGUGCACGCGAUCUCAUGAUUUUUUUUUUUGUAAAACUACGUAUUAAAUGAAUAUAUGUUUUAGAAUUGAUCUAAUUUUACUUUUUAUCCAUGCUACUAAAAAUAAGAAGUUCAAGUCAUAAUCAUCUAAGUUUUGAGUUGGUAAGAAUCACUGAUUAGUUAAAUAGAAAUUUUCUUGAUAAAAGAGUGUUGUAACACCCCAGAAAUUUUUUUGAACUGAGACUCGAACCAUCCUUCGUUGUGAAUAGGAUUUUAUCGAGGAAAUUAAAAAUUUCUUAAGUAUUAAGGUCAGGUCACUAGAUGUAGCACCUUGAGUUCCAAAAGAACAAAAUUAGAAAUAGCAAAAUCUGAAAUUUUGUAAGUUAUGCUUAAGUUACGAGUUUUGGGUCAACUUCAAAUGGCCAUAACUCUCAGUACAGGAUAAGCUACCAGAUACCGUAGGAAAGAUCAUUGAAUAUAUUUUCAACGCCACCGAGUUGGCUCAGUUUUGAGUUCGUAUGAGGGAGAUAUGUCCAUUCGCAAUUGGUUGUCUAGAUAAGAAAAGUUAAAACCGGAUUUUAGAGGGGUAUUUUGGUCAUUUCUUUACCCAAUCGGAUUUAAUUCAUUUUUAAGUAAUGUUUUAGGGGUAUAAUCUGAUUAGGUUUAGUUUUAUAAUCCUAAUAUACGCCUAGGGUUUUAGUUGAGAGUUCAAGAAGAGAAAAGAAGAGAAAAGAGGAGAAAGGAGGAGAGAAUCAAGCGUUCGUCGAGAGUCUAGAAUUUUGUUGCGGAUUUUCUCCAUGAGUUCAAUCCCUAAGAGGUAUGUAAGCUUUCAUAGUGUUGGGUUUGUUCACCCACACGCCAAACAUGUUAUUUCAGUGUAAUUUCACUCUCAAAAGUUGAAGGAUUUAAGUUCUUGAUAGGUGUUCUUGAAGUUCAUUCUAAAUCUUGUUUUGUUGGGGUUUUGAUGAUUUCUUGAGAUGAAAGUGAUUGUUUUGAGUGGAUUAGUGUGUACUUAGAUUGGGUAAUUGAAUCUAAGGAAAACUUGAGUAAAGAAAUAGAUUAAAAGCAAUUUAGGAUCAGAAAACGAGAGGCGAAAUUCGUCAAACUUGGCCUGGGGAGAGGCUGGGGCGGCGCGUCCCAGAUGUGCCCAAGGGUCUGGGGCGGCGCCCCUGCAGUGCGCCCAUAUGCAGCCUCUGAAGUUUGGGGAUGGCGCUCCGCGCCAGGAUCGCCUGAACCCACUCAUUUUCCGUCGGUUGUCCCGUUUGAGUCCUUUUUAAGUGUACCUUAACUCCCUUUGAUUUUAAUCACUCUAAACUAAUUAUAAACACUUAGAAAUCAUUCAUAACAUGAAUCAUAACCUUGAAUUAAUAAUUCAAAUUCAAGGUAAAGUUAAGAGUUAAGUUUUGAGAGUUCUUCUGAACCUUUUGAAAGAGUCCCUUUGAGUCCUUUUGUGGAGUCUUCUACAACUUCUAGUAACUUGUUCAAGACUCAAGCAAGAGCAAGUGAGUAUGAGAAUGAUGAGAAUGUAUUCAUGAGUCUACUUUGUCUUCACGAGAUCCUUCAUAUCAUGAACCAUAACUCGUGAAUUCAUAAUUCACAUUCAAGAGAGUCAAGAGUAGAGUUCAAGAAAGCCUUUGAGUUCAAUUGUGAAUCCUUUGAUAUCAACUAUUGAUUUGAACUAAAUUUUUAGGAAGUAAGUAAGAGAAUGAGAAGAUUCAUAUACAUGAGUUCCAUGUAGUUAUGUAGACCUUCGAGUCGAGUCGUUAAUGCCCAUAAAUUUCGCAUGGACUCCAUAAAUUGAGUAUCAUUGAGAGAAGUAGUAUCUUCAAGUUCUAAGUCUUGAGUAUUGAGUUCCUAAUCCCCUUUGAGAUAUAUUUCUAAUAAUGGUACUAUUACAUAUAACCCAUUAAGUCCUUGAGUUGAAUUGUUCAUGCCCAUAAUUCCGCAUGAACCCUAGUCGAACAAUCUUGAGAUGAGAAGUAUCUUUGAGUCCUUGAGUUGAGUAGUUCAAGCUCAUAAUUCCGCAUGAACCCUCUGAGUUGAGCAUUUUUUAAAAGAGUAGUACUAUCAUUGAAGUUCUUGAGUUCCAAUUAUUGAGUUCAAUCUAUGGUUAUUGAAAACCUUGUAUUGAGUCGUUCACGUCCAUAAUUCGACAUGAACCAUAUUUUAAGAAGUAUUUUACAAAUGAUUUAAACUUGUCUUAAGACUUGAGCAUUGAGUUGAGUAAGAGUAAAAGUGAUGUUCAAUUUCUUCAAAAGAUUAUACGGGAACUAAGUAUUUCCAAAGAGAAAAUGUUUUCACAUUUAAACAAGAAAAGGAAACCUUGAUAGCCUUUAAGCUAGUUUUCAGAAAAGAGUAAAUGCUUUCACAAUCAAGCGAGAGAGGAAACUUUGAUUUCCAAGAUAACCUUUGAGCUAAGUUUUUGAGCAAUUAUCUCAAUUCAUAGAAAGACGUAUGUUUUUUUAAACAUAAGAGCUAGUAUCAUAUUUUGGGAGUAGUAUUGAGCACCGACUUGGGGGAGAGUUCAGACAACUCACAUCCCCCAUAAACUAUGUAGCCACCAUAGGUAGAAAAGGCUCAUACUUUUUAGAUGAUUCUUUAGUGCUUUUUAGCAUAGACUAGUGGAUCCACUUAGUAGUCAGGUUCUAUACCCUUGACAAGGUAUAUGACGGCCCUGGCAGCGUGAGACAAAACGUUAUAUCAUCACAAUAGCUCUUAAGUGAUGGUUGUCGGUUAGAGAAACUCUCACAAAGAUAUUUGUAUUUUUAUAUACACAGAGUUUACUUGUAUUUUCAUAUACAAACAGAGUUUAUUGUAUCGUUGCAUACAAACUGAUUAUAUUGUAUUCUUAAAAACAUUGAAUUGUUUUCUAUUGUUUUAAAAGCUUUCCAUAUAUUACAUCUCUUAUUGUUGCUUUAUAUUGAGUUGAGGAUCCAAAGCUGAGUAUCCAGAGUUUGAGUACCAAGAGUCGAGUGUCUUAUUAUUGAGUUAAGCCUUAUUUCACUGAGUUGAAUAUUUUAUCUUUUGAUUUGAGUAUCUUAUUCUUUAGUUGAGUUGAGUGAGUUUAGAAGAGGUAAGUAUGUUUCCUUUUUAUCAAGUUCAAGCUUAUGUUUAUGUUUAGAAUUCCCCUUACAUGCUCGUACAUUCCAUGUACUGAGCCAUUUGGCAUGCAUCCUUUCAUGAUGCAGAUUCAGGUAUUCGGGAUCAUCAACAAGAGCUUCGUUGAUAGCACAUGGAGUUCGAGUUAGCUAUGGUGAGCCUCCUUGCUUCCGAAGGAUUUCAUUUACUUUUCAGUUACAUUAGUUAUUAGGAUGUCAUGGGUAUUGUCCCGACUUCCACCCUUGUCAGUUGGAGGCUUCAUAGAUAGACAGUAGAGUUUCAGAAGUCUGUUCAUUUAUUUUGUUAAAUGUUUUAAAGACUUAAGUUGUCCAUUUUGGGGCGAGUUGAAUAUAUUAUAUUAUUCAGAGUUUUCUUUUGAGUUAAAGCUUUAUAUUUAAGUUUUCAUGAAUUGUAUUCUGUUUUAAGCUUUGUAUGCUUAAGUUAGUCUUCCGCUUGUAGUCAGCCAGGAUGAGGGUUCGAUUGGGAACCAACAAUGGUUCUCGAGUGCCGGCCAUGUCCAGGGUGUAGACUCGGGUCGUAACAAGUGUUUACAACUUAUUAAACCUCAUAGGUUUGAAAUCCAUGAAUCAAAUAAGAAUAAGAAGUCUAGGACCCAAUGGCAAUAUGUAACUUGUAAGUUUUGAAAGACAUUUUAUUAGAAAGAAAUUUACGUUGUUUCUCUAUUUGUGUUUUGUUGGAUGUUUGGUGGAAAAAUGUAGAUCAUCUCCUAUUGCAUUGUCUCUUUAGUUGAUUUAUAACACAAUGAGUGAUUCAACAUAUAUUUAUAUUUUUGAAUUAGAAAUAUUAAUAUACACUUGUAGAUAAAACUCCCAACAACAUAGAAAUAUGUUAAAUCUGAUUUACUUAUAUGCAACAAAUAUUAUAUCUCACGGGUAGAAGGAACAGGAAAACCACAUGUUUUUGUUAUUGGGUUGACUAAACGGGAUACAGGAAAAUCAUGUCUUUGAAUUGCAUAACAAAGAGUGUACUGAUAUUUUAUACUUUAUAAUAUCAUCACACGAAUUUUAUACGGAAGAUGUGUGUCUUUUGUUGUCAAUUUUUUUGCAAUGAUACAAAAGUGGGUAGCGAAGUCAGAUCAAAGAUUCGACUUUGAUGAAUUCUUUUCAAUUCUUCGUCAAGAGACGAUUUAGAGUUUUCGGUAAACCUUUCUCUUUCGCCAAGAGUCUCCAGCAAAAUGGGCAAUUAUUAGUCUAUCAGGAGUCCAAGUAUAUCUCGAAUUGGUUAUGGUUUAUUGCAAGUACUUUUGGUUUUUACGUUUCUUUUCUGAUUUUUGUGGUGUUUGAAAAAGAUCAAAAAAUAUUUUAAACACUUAUUUUUAGACCAAAAAAAAGUAUAAAAAUAAGCUAAAGGCCAAAAGUUGGUAUUCCCAACUUAUGACUUUUAGCUUUUAGCUUAUAAGAUACUUUUAAAAAGUUAAUCCAAACACCCUCUUAAACUUUUAAAUUAAUUUUAAUUAAUAAGAUGUUAGCUAUUUGUUUAUAAUAUAUUAUCUUGAUAUGGUUGUAAAAACUUUAUUUAUCAAUAUGAAUAUUUGAAUUGCUUAUUUCAAAAUUCUACAAUAUUUUUGAUAAAAAGUAAAAUAGGUUCUCUUUCUUUAUUUUUUAAUUUAAAUUUUGAGUUUCUUUUCUUACAAAAAGGUACAAAAUUUAUAUAAAAUAGAAUAAAAAGGCAACUUUAAAUUAUUAUUAUUAUAUUUAUGUGUAUAUAUGUACAGGUAUCUGGGCACGUUUGUUGGACGUGUAUUCCAUAUUAAUUCUUAUAUAUUCAUAUUAUUUAAAAAUAACAAACUUUUAUAUUAUACAUAAUUCAAUAACAGUUUCGUAAAUUAAAAAAAUAUCAAUAUACAGCUAAAGAUAAAAUCCCUCAUGUUCCUAAUCUCCUAGCACCUUUGUAAAUGAUAUCUCUUCGUGUAAUUUCAUCUCCAAAUAUAUUGUUUGCCACAUUUGUAUCAUUUCUCAAUAUUUUAACAAUCAAAAAGAAAAUAAUAUAAGAAGAUACAUUUAAAGAAAGUUUAUAGAAGGAAAAGGAAAGUACAUUGAAUUAAAUAUAAAAGCGAGAGAAGAGGAAUAGCAAAUUGGAUAUCAUAUCAAUUGUUCUAAUGGUUCAUAAUAAUGGUUUAAAUUUCACAAUGUCAUUAUAAGUUGUUCAAAGUUAUAAAUGAAUAAAAUUAUUAAUGAUAAAAAUAGUGUAGUAGAGAAAGAAAUCAAGUGUGUGAGGCAUCUGAAAAUAAGUAAAUUCAUUAUAUAGAGCCAAUAUAUCUUAUAUCAUACUCUUUCUAAUAUGAUUUCUUUUUACACCUUUAAAAUUACUUAUUUUCUCUUUUUGCAUUUUCUUCUCUUCUGAAGUUGAUUUGCAAUCAAUCUCUGAAGGGCGAUAUCCAUAUUUGUAAGUUGACUCCUAAAUAGUACUCCCUCUGUCCCUAAUUACUUGUCCACUUUUCUUUUUAUAGUUGUCCCUAAUUACUUAUCCAUUUUGACAAAUCAAGAAAGGACAAUUUUUUUUACCUAUUAUACCCUCAAUUAAAUGACUAAUUACUUUGAAAAAUGUAGAACUUUUCAUUCACUUCAUAAUUAAUAGAGGUAAAAUGGUAAACUCAUUAUGUCAUUAAUUGAUUUCUUAAUAUGUGUGUCAAUUCAAAAAUGGACAAGUAAUUAGGGACAGAGGGUGUAACAGUGAAGAAAUGUAUUUUUCUCAUCACUCUUCUUUUAAAUUUCAAAACUAAAGUAAAGACAAAUAAUGAGGUAGAAAUUACUUACUAUUGAGGAUCGUACAUAUUAAGACUCAAAAAAAGAAAAAGCAACUAAAAAAAUUGGUCUUGUUGGUUUUGGACUCUGAGGGUCGAGAGCCUAUAAAUUAUAUAAACUCGUAAAUUCUAUCAAAAGCUUCAAUCUAAAUCCCCCUCUCUCCAUGCCUUGAGAAUUCUUUUUUCUUUUCUCCCCAAUUAUUUUCUUUCACAAUCCACAUACUUUAGAUUUUGUAUCCAACUUAUAAUUGUUGUGAGCUUUUAUAAGGUGUAGUAAAAAUGAGAAGUCUUUACUUAAGUAUUACUUAUUAACAAUGGAAUCUCAAAGGAUCAAAACAGAUCAUAAUUACAACAUGCACUAAUUAUUUGGCAGAUGAAACAAUUCUUCCGAUUAUUACUCAAUUCAAUACAAGUGAUCAGAUUAUAUUUAACAUAAAGCUUUGUUAUUAAUUUCAAGCUCUUCAAAUUCUUUAUGUUUUUAUCAUCUAAUAUUUAAUUAAUUAAAUAAAUAAUUUAUAACAUUUUAAUUUAGAAUAGGGGUAAAAUGGUAACCAAACAUAUAUAUAUAUAUAUAUAUAUAUAUAUAUUCUAUAUAUAAUAAGCCACAAUGCAAAGAUUUUUAUAGUAUUUAGUUACAUUGUAACUAUCUUGUUAGCUUUCAANNNNNNNNNNNNNNNNNNNNNNNNNNNNNNNNNNNNNNNNNNNNNNNNNNNNNNNNNNNNNNNNNNNNNNNNNNNNNNNNNNNNNNNNNNNNNNNNNNNNNNNNNNNNNNNNNNNNNNNNNNNNNNNNNNNNNNNNNNNNNNNNNNNNNNNNNNNNNNNNNNNNNNNNNNNNNNNNNNNNNNNNNNNNNNNNNNNNNNNNNNNNNNNNNNNNNNNNNNNNNNNNNNNNNNNNNNNNNNNNNNNNNNNNNNNNNNNNNNNNNNNNNNNNNNNNNNNNNNNNNNNNNNNNNNNNNNNNNNNNNNNNNNNNNNNNNNNNNNNNNNNNNNNNNNNNNNNNNNNNNNNNNNNNNNNNNNNNNNNNNNNNNNNNNNNNNNNNNNNNNNNNNNNNNNNNNNNNNNNNNNNNNNNNNNNNNNNNNNNNNNNNNNNNNNNNNNNNNNNNNNNNNNNNNNNNNNNNNNNNNNNNNNNNNNNNNNNNNNNNNNNNNNNNNNNNNNNNNNNNNNNNNNNNNNNNNNNNNNNNNNNNNNNNNNNNNNNNNNNNNNNNNNNNNNNNNNNNNNNNNNNNNNNNNNNNNNNNNNNNNNNNNNNNNNNNNNNNNNNNNNNNNNNNNNNNNNNNNNNNNNNNNNNNNNNNNNNNNNNNNNNNNNNNNNNNNNNNNNNNNNNNNNNNNNNNNNNNNNNNNNNNNNNNNNNNNNNNNNNNNNNNNNNNNNNNNNNNNNNNNNNNNNNNNNNNNNNNNNNNNNNNNNNNNNNNNNNNNNNNNNNNNNNNNNNNNNNNNNNNNNNNNNNNNNNNNNNNNNNNNNNNNNNNNNNNNNNNNNNNNNNNNNNNNNNNNNNNNNNNNNNNNNNNNNNNNNNNNNNNNNNNNNNNNNNNNNNNNNNNNNNNNNNNNNNNNNNNNNNNNNNNNNNNNNNNNNNNNNNNNNNNNNNNNNNNNNNNNNNNNNNNNNNNNNNNNNNNNNNNNNNNNNNNNNNNNNNNNNNNNNNNNNNNNNNNNNNNNNNNNNNNNNNNNNNNNNNNNNNNNNNNNNNNNNNNNNNNNNNNNNNNNNNNNNNNNNNNNNNNNNNNNNNNNNNNNNNNNNNNNNNNNNNNNNNNNNNNNNNNNNNNNNNNNNNNNNNNNNNNNNNNNNNNNNNNNNNNNNNNNNNNNNNNNNNNNNNNNNNNNNNNNNNNNNNNNNNNNNNNNNNNNNNNNNNNNNNNNNNNNNNNNNNNNNNNNNNNNNNNNNNNNNNNNNNNNNNNNNNNNNNNNNNNNNNNNNNNNNNNNNNNNNNNNNNNNNNNNNNNNNNNNNNNNNNNNNNNNNNNNNNNNNNNNNNNNNNNNNNNNNNNNNNNNNNNNNNNNNNNNNNNNNNNNNNNNNNNNNNNNNNNNNNNNNNNNNNNNNNNNNNNNNNNNNNNNNNNNNNNNNNNNNNNNNNNNNNNNNNNNNNNNNNNNNNNNNNNNNNNNNNNNNNNNNNNNNNNNNNNNNNNNNNNNNNNNNNNNNNNNNNNNNNNNNNNNNNNNNNNNNNNNNNNNNNNNNNNNNNNNNNNNNNNNNNNNNNNNNNNNNNNNNNNNNNNNNNNNNNNNNNNNNNNNNNNNNNUUCAACGCAUUAUGGCCAUUUAGAUCUCUAAAAUCCGCACCAACAAGGGAAAAUCGUUGAAUCUUUUAAUUUGCCUAUAUUGUUCGCGGCGCACACAAUUUUAAAAUAUUAUAUAAGAGUGAAAAUUAUUUUCGCUUUUCAACUUUGCUGUAAAAAUUAAACCCCCUUUCAAUUUUAAACAAUAAUCGAACUCCUCCCUUUAUUCUAAUUAAUAUUUUUUAAAUACCUAUUAUACCCUUUCAUUAUCAACUCUUUUUUACUUCUUUAAAAAUCAUGACUUGUUUUUUUGAAUUCAUGUAGCAAUUUUUUCAUAAUAGCAUAAAUAUUUUUUUUUGGAUGAAAAAGUGAGAAAUAUUGAUUAAGUAUAUGAGCUAAUGAUGUUUUAAAAUGAAGUGAAUUAGCAUUAUGAAAAAAAUAUUUUUAUUAAUAAUAAUCAAACUCUAAUAUUUAUUUACACAAGUAAAGAUAACAAAGAAUAAUAACUAAAACAAAUAUAUUUCGAUGUGAUGAUAUAAAAUAAUAAAUUUAUUAAUUUAAGGUCAAAUUUGUAAAGAUAGUAUUUUUUAAAAUGUAAAUUAUUUUAAACUAAAAUCUAUAUAAUACUCCAUUUAUAUCAAUCAAAACUUGUUUAUUUAUAUAGACAAUAGAGAAUUCCCUGGACGGUUAGACUAUUUGACCCCAUUCUAAAAAUAGUUGUUUUGAUUUACUUGUCCAAUUAAUGUACCCUUAAUAUUAAAUAACUGCAUAAAAUAGUAGUAGUUAAAUUCAAAGUUUCAAAGCAUUAUUGAAAAUAUUAAUUUAGUAAAAUACACCUCUAAUUAAAAAAAAAUUAAGGGGUGUCAUAUCAGGAAGGGAUCAAGUAAUAUAAAACGCACGAAGCAGAGAGUGAAAAAAGACAAAAAUAUACGCAUACAUACAUAUAUACAUGAUGUUGUGGCAUUUUAAUAUUAUUAUAUCUUUUAAUAUUAUUAUACUUUGCAAAUGCCAUUUGCUUUCUGCCUAAUAACACAUUAGUUGGGUUACUACCGUUUGGCAGUUGAUGACAUUUGAUGUCAUCUUUAUUAUCAUGUGUCAAACGUAUAGUGAAUGUGUAAUGGUACUUGUCCAUUGGGUUUCUUGGCAGAAUGAGUAGUGGUCAACUAUGACCAUUACUUCUCCAUUAUCUCACUCUUUAUUCCUUCAUUAUUCUUUGUAACCUAUGUAACAUAUGUAACCUCUAGGUCAUUUAUCUUCACUAUUUACUAUACCAUUAUCUUCCUAUUCAUUGCUAGGAAGACUUCUUCUAGUAUAAAUAGUGGUGGUCUUCAUUUGGUUUGAUAUACACAAUAUACAACACACAAGAAAAAUAUAGAGUGAAAGAAUUAGUCAAAAAAGAGAGUUCUUAUUAGUUGAAGGGAGGUGUUCUUUUUUUGUGGAGCUUUGGACUCAACUCUUGUCCAGAGUUGUUGAGUUAUACUUUGUGAAGGUUGUUGUAUCCUGGAGGGGACAAGUCAAGAGGACUAUUGCUGGACCAGUGAAAACAUUUGCUGCAGUGGGAUUGAGUCUCCUUAAAGAGAGCGAGAUAUCCGCGCCUCAGCCUGAAGAGAUUUAUUUCUUCAUUUUUAUUUUCAAUUGUAAUCUUGCAAUUUUAUUAUCUUGUAAUUUUUCACCAACACAUGCUUAAUGCAUAGUAUGUUGAUAAUAACAUUCAUAAAAAUAAUAUUAAAUUUUGUGACAAAUUCAUAAAAAUAUUAUUCACUUAUAAUGUUAAUGAACUUAAAGAAAAAGUUAUAAAUACCUAGGUUAAAAAUAAAUUAUACAUAAUAUAAAGAGGCAGUACCGGAUCCAGAAUUGUUUUAAAUGGGUGUCGAUGAUUGUAGCAAAAAAAAUUAUAGUAAAAAAACUAAUUUUGAGGCUAAUAAAACUCAUUAAGGAGCGCCAAUAACUGUAGCAAAAAAAAUUGUAGUAAAAAACUAAAUUUUGAGACUAAUAGGACUUAUUCAGGGGUGUCAACUGUCAAUGAUUGUAGAAAAAAAAAAUUGUAGUAAUAAAUAAAAUUUUGAAGCUAGUAAGAGUGAAAGACUGCGACACAUGACCUUAAGGAAUUUUCACAACAUCUUAAUUACUAGACUAAGCAUUUAACUUGUGUAAAGAGAUGUCAAUAAUUCUUAAUACACAUCAGCUUACUCUAAGCCUAUAGGACAAUUGAUGACGUCCGCCACUACACCGGUCAGAAUUUUCAAUUAGGGAGUUCAAAAUCAGAAGAAAUAGACACACGAAGUAGCCGGAUGGAGUUCGACAUCUACUAUAUAUACCUAAAAAAAAAUUUUAAUCAUGUAUAAAUAAUAUAAUUUUCCGCCAAAGGGGUUCAGUUAGUGGCUCCGCCACCGGCUACACCGGCCAUUAGGAGAAAAAAUGAGAAUGUGGGCCCAUCCUCAUAUUAUCCACGUCAUUAGUCAAGAUGACUUCAUUAAUUAUUUAAUUCUACACCAUAUAAUUCCACGUGAUUUUCCUAUUUUCCCUACUAAAUAAAUAUUAAAAAGUCAAUAUUAGCCCCAAAACCCAUUCAUUUUUACCGGCCUAUCCUAUAAGCUUGAGGUGGCAUCCUUAAUUUUUCCAACUUUUUUAUUUGUAUCGGAGCUCGGAACUCACUAAACUGAUAAUUUUAAGGGAAAUACAUUCUAAUGUUGACAUCAAAUCAUGUAAAUUUAUUAUAAUUAAGUAAUUUAAUGUGGUGAGAAUGCAUGCUAAUUAGUACUAUGUGUUAAGAAUUUAUGUAUAAAAUACAUAUCGUUUAUUAUUUUUAGCUCCCAAUACUAAACAAAACUUUAUUUCAUUCGAUUUGGACUCGGAAUAUCUAAAACAAAUUAAGUUUUUUAUUUAUCUUUUUUUUCAGAGAACUCAUUUCAUUGUUUCAUUAAUGACUCGAAUUCAUGUUUUUAGUGGAGGUAAAGGGUGUUUAUCAACUGAGAUAAAGUAUCUAAAUUUUAACUAAUUUUAGAUGAGUAAAUUUUACCGCAAAAAAAAUAUCAAUUAUUUCAUAUCUGAAUACACAAUCAAAAUUAAAAGAUUUGACCUUUCAAAAUUCAUUUGUGUCUCGUAAACUAAAAAAGCAAAUAAUAUUUAAGUAGUUACGGUUCCUCAUGAAUAAACUAUAUGAAUAAAUUAUAUACGGAGUUCAAUAUUUUUCAAAAACGGCACAUUUCAUUACAAUAACAACAUAUUCAAUAUAGUUCUUCGUAUAAAAUGUGAUUUGAAAAUAAUAAAAUGUACGUAGACCUUACCCUGCUACGGAGGUAGAGAGGUAACGACACAAUUGCUCAUCAUUGCUUAGAAAAACUUACCUAAUUAACAUUUAAAAAUUAUUAUAGUUAACUAAUUAAUUGUCCACUCAUCUGUUCCAAUUGACUGGACAGAUUUUAGUUAUAAUAUGUUAGUGAAAAAUUACAAAAUAACAAAAUUACAAGAUUACAAUUGAAAAUAAAAAUGAAGAAAUAAAUCUCUUCAGACUAAGGCGUGGAUAUGUCGCUCUCUUUAAGGAGAUUCAAACCCACUGAAGCAAAUGUUUUUCACCGGUCCAGUAGUAGUCCUCUUGACUUGUCCCCUCCAGGAUACAACAGCCUAAUCACAAGGUGUAACUCAACAAACUCUGGACAAGAGUUGAGUCCAAAGCUCCACAAAAAGAACACCUCCCUUCAACUAAUAAAAACUCUCUUUUUGGACAAACUUUAUGCACUCUGAUCUAUAUUUUUCUUGUGUAUCAACCAAAUGAAGACCACCACUAUUUAUAGUUGCGGAUGUCUUCCUAGCAAUGAAUAGGAAGAUAAUGGGGUAGUAAAUAGUGAAGAUAAAUGGUAUUAGAAGUUAUAUAGGUUAUAAGGUAUAAUGGAGGAAUAAAGAAAGAGAUAACGAAGGUUGAAUGAAAAAGAAUUAGUGGUCAUGGUUGGCCACCUUCUGCCACUAACAGUAACCUCCAAUGACCAACGUUUUGUAACCAUCAAAUAAAGGGUAAUAAUGCCUAAAGACAUUGAUUGACACAAGUGAGUAAUUAGGCAGUAAUGCCUAAGGUUGCAGCAAUGAAAUAGAGAUUUCUGCAACAAAUAAAAAACAAUUGUUAAUGUAUUGUCAAAGGUGCAAAUUAAUAUAUUAUUAAAAUGCUUACACUAACAUAAUAUUAACUAACUCAAUAUGCCAUAGUAGGUUGGAUUGAUUAAUAUUCACUAACGAUGUAAAAGUAUCCGUACUAGUAUUAUAUUUUGUUUAAAGGUUAUUUGUGAGUAAUUUUUUUUAAACCUUGAUUACAAAUAAGACAAAUCAUAUAUUAUAACAUUAAUAUAAUUGGAUUGUGUAAAAAAUAUUUAUAUCGUUUGUGAAUAUAUAUUACUUAAAUUCUAAGUAAUUUAUUUUUCCAUAUUACAUUAGAAGAGAAAAAGGGAAUACGAAAAAGGAGAUACUAUUCAAUAGGUUAUUUGAACCCUUUACUUCAAUAGUAGAAGGGAAAAUUAUAUAAAAUAGUAAACUAUUAAUUCAAAUUAAAUAUUAUAAUUACAGUUUCAUUUAAUUGUAAUUCGUAGCAAACACUUGUCAUUCGCCUCUCUUCCCAGAGAAUUUCGCUUGUCGCUCUCCCAGUUCUCGCUCGUCACUCUCCCUCGCCUCUCUUACUUUAUACAAACACAAAUCUAUAAAUUGUGUUUGUGUUUGUAUAAAGCGAGAGAAAACUGUAUAUACAAAUACAAAUACAUAUAUUUUCGUCAUAUACACUUAUAAUUAUACAAGUACAGCUAUUUCCCUACCAGUUCUCUUUUGUCUUUCUCUCUUUCUCGCUUUAUACAAAUACAAUGUAUAAUUUGUGUUGUAUAAAUAGAGAGAGAGAUUUGAUAUACAAAUAUUUUAUUUCGAUUCAAUUGUAUACAAAUUCAAAUUUUAUGCAGAUAUACAAACACAAUCAGGGAUACAUAUACAUAGUAGUUACAUAUACAAUUAUCUAACCGAUAUAUAUAUAUAUAUAUAUAUAUACACACAAUCGUUGCGCUUUUAUACAAACAAGAGGCCUGUCAGCGAUUUAUACAAAUCUGAUGCUCCUUCCAGCGAUUUAUACAAAUCCGAUGCUUCAUAGCAAACAUAAAGUUAGCUAUGAAGCACAAUGAUGCAAACUAUAGUUAUAGCAUACAAAUAUGAUUUUUAUGUUUGGUAAACCUAAAAUUUACUCGUGGUAGAAUGUAUAGAGCUUGCCAAGUAAGUUGGUCUUCGAUUUCCACCAUAAAUGUUGAUUGGAAGAACUUGUAAUGAUUAAAAUGAGUGGUACUCCGACAAAUAUAAGUUAUUCUAUUUCUUUAGUAUCUUUGAUUUUUGGUUACUUCUCUAUGCUUGUUUCUUCAUUAUUUUUCUUUGUGAUCUUUUUGACUAAUCUAUUGCCUCUGUAAAGUCGAGGAAGCAUAUUUAGAUCAGGAUGAAAUCUUUAUAUUUGCAUUGAAACAUUGUAAAAGAAAUCUAGUAUAGGUAGGAAUUGAGAUAAAUUGAGAAGCCUUCAGUUCUUGAUUAAUUGAGAUGAAUUGGCAGCUUGACUCCCUUCACAUUGCUUUGUUCUUCUAGCUUCUUCAGCAUAAAAAUUGCUUGUGAGCCAUAUAUGAUAUAUUGAAUUUGACCACUUCUUCACUUGGCAGUAAGCUUAGAAAUCACUUUUUGUAGUUAAAUAGAACCAGAAUAUUUCAUUACUUGUCUAGAGUAAUCAUUCAUGUGCAGCUAUAAAUAUAAACAGUGUGUGGUAUGUAAUUGCAAUACGUGGAUUGGCCAAGAUUCUAAAACUUCUUUUUAAUUGGUUUUAGUAAGGAGGUUGUGAUUUCCAAGUCGUACAUAGGGCCGUCUUAACCCCUAGGUCACUAAAGCCAUCGCUUUGGGCCCCAUAUAUUUUGGUCAAAUUCAUGUGCAGCUAUAAAUAUAAAUAGUGUGAUUGCUCGUUGUCUUGGUGUUCCUGAGCAUAGUAUCCGUGUAAUAACAAGAAGGGCUGGAGGUGGCUUCAGUGAAUUUUUUUUUGUAAGGUCCAUUUGCUCAAGUCGAGAAGGGAAAGUUGUUGAAUCUUUCAGUGGUAUAUAUUCUUAUGUUGGAUUGAACAUCAGGACUAUGGAUGUAAUAUAAUAGCUUGUAUUGUUGAGACUUUAGGUCCUUAAUUUUUGCUAAAAUGGAGCACUUUUGGUCUCCCUAACAUUUUACUUCGCAUUAUAGUUUUCAAUUUGUGAAUAUCUAUCUUGAAUAAUAGCUAUUGAGAAGUUUGACCUCUUCUCUUUCUUUUAUCAUUGGCUAUAUAGUUUUUGAGGAAAAUUUGUUGUCACAUGGUGAUACAUAAAAAAAAAAAAAAGUAAUCAUAAAUGGUCAAAAUCAAGACUUGAGAAAACUCAAUCAAUCGAGAGUAUUUUAGUGGAAUGACUUAACCUACUCUCCAUAUGAGACCGGAAAGGAAGCUAGCGAACCUAGGAUUAAUGGCAAAAGGGAAAAGAAUGAUGUUUGAUGUGAAUGGAAGCACACAUUUCGCUUAGAAAGCAUGACUUUCAAUGUAUAGAAGGAAUUUUCUCAAAUUCUUUUUCGUUCACCUGCGUUUUAUAUUAAAUUAUUUCAAAAGAUAUGGAUGGCUUCAUUAACUCUAACUCAAUUAAAAGUAGAUCAACACAAAUCAAGAUUGAUAUUCCCUUCGUUUCAAUUUAUAUGUCACAGUUUUUUAUUUCACGUGCAUUAAGAAAUUUAGUAAUUUUACUAUUCUAUCCUUAUUUAAUUUUUUUUGAAGUCAACUUUUCAAUCAAUGAAUAUGAAUUAAUUUAUUUUGAUUAAUUAAUUUGACCAAUGAACAUGAAUUAUUCACUUUCUUUUUCUAUGUUGGUCAAAUGUAUAUAUUUUCAAGGCUAAUAACUCACAAGGGUAAAAUAGGAAGAAUAUUAUAAUUUAUGCAUUAAUUUUAUGAAAUGAAAAGUAUUAUGGACCAACUAUUUAUAGUAAGGACUAAUGAUGACAUAUAAAAAGGAAUGAAGAAAGUAUAGCAAAUCAGAAAAUAAAAAGAAAUUAAUCAACUAUAUAACAAGCAAUCUACCACGGUAAUGGCCCGAUACAAACCAAAAUCAAUAUUUCCUUCUUUUCUGCUAAUCAUGUUUUCCUUUCGUUAAAACAAAUUGAGAGAAACAAAGUAAUCAUACAUAAUCACUAGGCAUAUGUUUUUCUCUAUUUAGAUGCAAGCAAGGCUCUUGAUGUCAAGUGUUGAAAAACUAUAUCCACAGCAAAAGUAUACCAAAAUCAUGAUGCUUACCUGAAUAAUAGACAACACAUAUGUUUACAAGAACACAUUAACUUUCUAAAAUUUAAUUGUGAGCAAAUACCUUCAAGCGAAUCCACAAGUUAGACGUAACUCUCUCAAUACUUGGGUCGAAAAUAUGUAUAGCAAAAUGAUUGUCUUUCUAGAUUAGAAGAACCCCUAUUUAUAGAGAUUUCUUUCCCGUCCAAAAGGGAGAAGAAAACAACAUUUCUCUUGAAAAUCAAGAAAACACACGUUACUCCUCCCCUUUUCUCUUAGAAAUAGGAUUAUGAGUUCUAGUUAAAUAUGUGCAUUGUAGGGAGUACAUAAUUGAUCAUUUGGGAAGUGAAAAGUUUCGAAGGUUUCUCUGUUCAAGUCGAGAAGCGAAAGUUGUUGAACUAUGUAUGUAAUAGCUGUUAAGAUUUUGCCCUGAUUUUCUUACCAUAUUUGAGUUUUAAUUCUUCCUUUAAAGAAAGUCAAAGUAUUACCAUAAAUGCUUGAACUUUUUCGGAAAGGAAAAUAUAAUUCUCUUCCAUAUUUGAUUUAUUCUUUUUUUAGAGGAAAAGUUUGGAGAUCUAUAAAUUGAAGAUCACUAUUCUCAUAGCAUAACACAAUAGAAUCCACAAUGUAAUCGUUUAAGAGUCUUGUUUAUGGGGAGAUUUUCUCCUAACCAUAUUUAUGCUUUUUCAAUAUUAGUUUUAUAAUAUGUAGGUUGCUUGGUCAAACUAUAUUAAUAAUAUGUCUUUAGUAUACUUUUAUUUGUCGUCUAAUUUAUCAACAUAUGAUUUGCAAUUGUAAGCUUCAGCAUGAUGCCCCAAUCACCUUCAUAACCCAAUAAGUGGUAUCAAAGCCAAUGGUUCAAUGAUCCAGGUUCAUCGAGGUUGAAGACAAGUUCAAAGCGGUAUCAAAUCAAUUUGCAACCAAUUUGAUGAUAAAGAAGAUUUUUAUUCAGCUACAUGUGGAGAAGAGAUUUAAACCAUAUUUUCAACAUUCCUGCUGCGGCAUCUUUGAAAAUAAAAAUAAAAUAUUUUAAAACCAUUUUAACACAUAUAUUUUAAACUUUAUUUUUAACCAUGGCAAGCAGCAGUGAUGAAGACUAUGUGAAGAGCGAAGAUAUCCUGCAUGUGAAGAAGACGGAUCGAGUUUUGUCAAGAAAAUCUAGCCAAAAGGGGAGAUUUGUUAGGGUUUUGCCCUGAUUUUCAUACCACAUUUGAGUUUUAAUUCUUCCUUAAAAGAAAGUCAAAAUAUUACCAUAAAUGCUUGAACUUUUUCUGAAAGGAAAAUAUAAUUCUCUUCCAUAUUUGGUUUAUUCUUUUCUUAGAGGAAAAGAUUGGAGAUCUAUAAAUUGAAGAUCCAUAUUCUCAUAGCAUAACACAAUAAAAUCCACAAUGUAGUUGUUUAAGACUCUUGUUUAUGGGAGAUUUUCUCCUAAACAUAUUUAUGUUUUUUCAAUAUUAGUUUUAUAAUAUAUAUAUAGGUCGUUUGGCAAAACUAUAUUAAUAAUAUGUCUUUAGUAUACUUUUAUUUGUCGUCUAAUUUAUCAACAUGUGAUUUGCAAUUGUAAGCUUCCGCAUGACUACUCAAUCACCUUCAUAACCCAACAAUAGCUUGUAUUGUUGACUUUGGGUCCUAGGCUUCCACGACUUUAAAAUGCAUCACUUGGGUCUAAUGUCACUUCUUUUUAUAUCGACAAGCAAUAUCUUACUUGCGUUUUGUGUUGUCAAUGUUGUAUAUGCCCAGGAUGCUACAAUGUUCUUUUUACUUUGGAUACCAAGACAAAAGGCAAAAGACAACACAAUUAUUGGACUUUCUGUAUUGAGAAAUCGGAAUUCCUGGACGCAAAUGGUUAGAGAAAACUAUUGAUGGAAUGUACGUGUCCACUAUAUAUCCAUGGACCAGGUCUCUUGACUCAGCAAGAACAACAACUGAAAUAAAUGCAGAAAGUAAAUAGCUGAAAGUAAAAUCUGCACAAGGAUUUUAUAUGAAAAUCCCCUUGCUCAAGGGCAGUGAAAACUGACAUGGGUGCGACAGUCUUUUUGAAGAGUUAGAGCAACAUAAAAUCAAUAAAAAUAAGUUUUAUUUACCUUAUCAUUAAACGUAUCGCCUGUGAGGGUAAUAACUUCAGCUUUAGCGAUGUAUAUCGAACUCAACAAAAUGAUGCAACACAAUAAGAUACAGGAAAAUGGGUUCAUAUAGCGUUUCAAUGCAGCCCAGAUUUUGAUUUUUUUACUAAAAAUUGCUAUGAAUUUGAAGGAGAUUUGGAUGCCUGAAUCGAAUUUUGGAGACGGUGGGGAAAUUUUGAAAAGGAGGAAAGGGAGAAAGAGUGAAAGAUAAAGGGUGUUUGGGGAUAUUUCUAAAAGUUUAUGGACCAUUUUGUCUUAAAAUGUUUCUUUUGUGGGUGAACUUCAAUUUGAAGUUUGAACCUAUUAUUUGGUGGCGUUUGGCUAUGUUUCGUUUUGUUAUUGAAAAAAAAUAAAUUUUAUGAGUAAAAAUUGAUAUUUGUAAAUUGAAAUUAUGUUUGACCAUGAAGUAAAUUAGAGUCGUUUUUGUUUAAUUUUUGUUGUUGUUUUUGUAUUUUUUUAAAAUUUUAUAGACAAACGUGUUUUUAUGACAAACGUCACCUAGUCACUCUUUUUUUUUCUUGAAAAACUAAGGUAAAUAGUAUUCACCUAAAUUUUAAAUAGACGACAAAUAUAUAAUAUAUGUAUGUCGUUUAGAAAAAGUAAACCAUGAAUCUGACGAGAUAAUUUUAAAAAACCUUUUUUAAGAUACAAGAAUUGUUAUUAGUAUAAUGUAUAACUAACAUAUUAAAUAGUUUAUAACAGUAUAAUUUUUUUUGGCAUUGUUGUGCCACUUUAAAGGUUAUUAAAGAGGGUGAUAGGUAGUUGAUUUUUGAACAUCAUUUAAAUUUUAAAUUAUAUCCGCAACGUACAAGAAUUUGUAAAUUUACAACUAUUAAAUAUGAGUCUGAAGUUGUAAAAAUUUUAUAUGAACUUCAGUCAUUCGAGGGAUUUUUGUGUGAACUUCAAUUUGAAGUUCGGUCCCAUUAUUUUGUGGCGUUUGGUCAUGUUUCAUUCUGAUAUUGAAAAAAAAAAUGUAUUAUGAGUGAAAAUUGAUAUUUGCAAAUGACCACGAAAUAAAUUAGAAUUGUUUUUUUAAUUUUCGUGAGAAAAUAUUUUAUGUUGUUGUUGAAUUAUUUCAAAAUUUUAUGAACAAUCGUGUUUUCAUGGCAAAACGUUACCUAUUUGCUUUUUCUUCUUGACAAACUAAGGUAAUAGUGUUCACCUACAAAUAUAUGAUAUAUGCAUGUCGUUUAGGAAAAGUAAACAACGAAUUUGAUGAGUUAUUUGAAGGGAAAAAAGACCUUUUUUUAAGAUACAAGAAAUGUUAUUAAUAUAAGGUUUGAUUGGUGUAUAAUAAUAUAAUUUUUGUAUGAACUUUGUGAUCAAAUGAAUGACAUUCAAAAAUUUUAAAGAAAUAUAUGACAGAUGUGACUAAAGUUCUUGUGAAUAAUUUCUUUCCCCAAAACAAUUCGACAUAUAAAUUUUUUUCUUUUCUUUUAUGGUAGAUAAAUUCAAAGAGAUUUUACAUGAAAUAAACAACAUACCAUAAAUUAAAAAUUAAUACAAAUUUAUAAUCUUGUUGAAUUAUAAGCUCCUUGUGACAUGAAUGGACAAGUAAGAAUAAUUUAGAAAGCUUCCAUGCAAUAUAAUUUCUCUUUCUCCACAUGAACAUGAUUAUCACCAACAGGACUAGCAAAUUGUAGAAUUCCUUGUCUUGUUCAAAAAUGGACAUUUGUUGUUGGUUCAAGUUAAUAAACACUUCAAUUCCUCUAUUUUGAUCUUGUGUAUUCAUCAAAUAAAUCAUAUUGCUAAAUGGUGUACUUGCUAUGCUUGCUCUUGUAGGUCUCCCCCAUCCAAAAUCCAAAUCUUGGAAUGGAAUGUUACAUACACUACUACAUCGAUACACAUCGUGACAUGAACUCUUCUGACGAUACGAUUGAUCAUUCUCUGUUCCUGUAUUUAUUUUAUUUGCGUAUUCAAGCAUCUCUGAUACCCAUUUGUUUUCUUUGAAAUUGUCUCUGGUGGAAAGCUCGUGUUUAGACUUUCUUAUAUCGGCUACUAAUUUUGGUAACUUAAGGUCUUCUAGGUUCUAUAUUGGUGUAGAGAAGGUGGUGAGAAUGUUCCCGAUUGUGGAUGUUGAUUUUAUUGAUGGUGGAAUUGUUUUUCUUAAUCAGAUACUAAAACCAUUUGAGACGAAGAAUCAUUACCAUUUGAUAUGUUUGCACCAGCAAUUGCUACACACAUUUGUAAACAAUUGCACUAACAACCUCAGUCGUAGUUGGAUUUUGCACUAUUGAUGAUGGAUCAUCAACGAUCAUUGCUUUGAGAGCUCUUAUAUUGGAUUUAGAUAAAAAAAAAAACCUCUUUUCAAAUUCAACACUUUCUUUUGUAUUUGGCUCAACCACAACGGGGAACUUUAGUGGGCCAUCGGGUAGAGAUGGCAUUAAUGAAUCCUGAACAUAAUAUGAAGGAGAUGAUAAUUCGCCAUUUGGAUGUUCUCGGGUUAAUGUAUCCCAAUCCUUCAAAAAUGAGAAGGCACUACGCGCAACACCCACCGUAUGUGACAUGCACACACUUAUUGCCAUUCCUCCACAAUCAAAGUGGCUAAGUUGAGCUAUGCUCAAUCGGCCACCAUCAUUUGCGUGAGGAACAUUCUUCCAGGAUAACCCUGAAGGAAAUGUUAAGUCUGGGUGAUGAACGACUUGAUUUAUUGGACAAUUAACUUCAACUUCAAAUAACUCAGCUCCAGUGUCAUCACAAUGAGUAGUUGUAUUAUCUCUUAAACUUCCAUCCCAUGGUUGAUGAUAAGUCAAUGCUUUUGAAAAUGAGUUUUCUAGAAGUUUAGAGAGUUGUUUUGGACCUUGUUCUAGUUGAUGUUUUGGGUAAAAUAAAACAAGGGGCAUAUAAAAAUUACCCAUACAUUGAUCAAGAAGUGAAAGUUUGUGAGUUUUUUGAGUUGAUGGAGUGGGAGAAAAAGGUUUCACAACUUUCUUGGAGAUUGUUGAUAGCAAUCUUGAAAAACUAGACAUCUUUAAUUUUAUUUUAUUUUUAAAUGCAAAAUUAAAAUCUCACACUAAUGAAUUUUUCUUCUUAGUAUUUUGUUACUAUAUAUAGAUACAUUAGGAAAACAGUAAUUAAAUACUAGCCAAAAAAGUUUAUACAAUUUUUUUUCUCACUUUGGAAUAAAUGGUCAAAUUUGGAUUGCCAUAUACUAUAUAUAUAUAUUCAUAUUUAUUAAAGGACUUAAUAGAAAGUCAAAAACAACUAACCUUGCGGUUAAAAAUGAUAGAAAUAGAAACUAUUUCUAUAAAAGAAAAUCUUCCAGGAAGAAAUACAAACAUAAUUGAAAAAACAGAGAAAUUUGACAAAAGAGUUAGUCAAAAAUACAUAAACGAAUUACUAGCAAAAAAAGUUGCGAGUAAAACUACAUACCAAAAAUGAAGUAUGGAUGAGUUGCUAAUCCAAAAAUUCCUAGAGAAACAAAAAAUUAAUGAAGAAAAUCUAAAAGAAAACCUAGAAGCUACAGAAAAUUCCAUAGAGGUAGAAGAAGAAUUACAAAAAAAUGAAUGAACUAGAUGAGCUAGUAUAUGCUCUGGAAGAUCUUAAUCUUUCAGAACAUGAACUUAAAGUAUUUAUGAAUAAAGGGGAAAUAGGAGGACCCCAAGGAAAAAUUGAAGACGGUGAUGGAACAAAAUCCGUAAAAAAAGAGUGGCAAGAGCCAGAAAAAGAGGAUAAAAAUUUUGCAAACAAAGCAAAAAAGAACAAAGAUUUUAUAAAACAGUUUCAUAAUGACGAUAAAUCCAAGUUCAUGCUUAAUAGACCCCCUACGGGAGAUAUUGGAACUCAAUUUCUAGAUUUGGACUGUAAGAGAGAUCCAGAAACAAGUCUAGAUUUAUGGUCCCAAAACAUGCUUUUAUAUUUCCUUUUAGGAAAAGGAAAUUAUACUGAUGAAGAAAAAUACAUCAUCAUGAUAAACACUUUCAUAGGAAAAGUAAACGACUGGUUUUCUGGAUUAACUGAAGAUUCAGAAAAAAUAAUAAAAAAUGAUACUAUAGAAGGAUUAAAAAGAUCCUUACAAGAAGGUAUUACAAAUCUAAAGCAAUAUGUGGCUAAUGAAUUCUUUGGUGGACAAGGAAGUCCUCCAGCUAACAGAGAAAAAAUUAGAAUAAUUGCUAAAGAGCGAUUAGAAAAAUUACAAAUUUGUAAAAUGAGUCAUAUUCAAGAAUACACUUGUGAAUUCGAGGAAUAUUACUACAAAAUCUUUGAUAGUGGUAAAGAAAUGUUACCAUAUCUUGAAAAAUACUAUCAAAAAUUACCAGGCUUUUGGGCAAAAUACUUCAGAGAAGAAUAUGAAAAGGAAAAUAAAAUAGGAGACACUCUGGGUCAGAGAAUAAGUUUCUUAAAAAAUAGAUUAGGUCAAUUAUGUAUGUCACAUAACAUGCAGAGAAAAGCUAAAAGAAUUAACACUCAGAUAUAUUGUCUAGAUACAAAUGCAGCCUCCCAAUGGGGAUGUAAUGAUAAACCUUAUAAGAAAAGAAAACUUAAAAAGAAGUUAAUAAACAGAAAAAAAAAAAUCUAAGAAAGAGUAUGUACCUAGAAAAAAAUAUUAUAAAAAGAAAAAAGAUUUUACAAAAACAAAACCUGCAGAUAAAUGCAAGUGUUACAAUUGUGGCGAAGAAUGCCAUAAAAGUUACGAAUGUAACAAAAGAAAAGUAAAAAACUCAAAAAUUAAUAGAAUAGAAAUUGAUUCUGAUCUCGAAUCAAUAAAAUCAAUAAAUAGUGAAAAUUUCUUUGAAGAAAUCUAUGAAGAAUACUCAACCAGUUCAGAAGAUUCUAACUAAUGAGUAAAGAAAUACAAGAAAAAGAAAAUCGAGUUCAAAUUUUAGAGACUGAAGAAGAUCACAGAGGAUAUGCCUUAAAAGCAACCUUUGAUAGAGAAACAUUUAGAAAAAUCCAAGGAUUAAAAUUAAAUUUUAAAAUGGAAGACAAUCUAUUAAGCAGAAUGCUAAGAAUGUUUUCAAGAGAUAAAAUUUCCUAUCAUGAGUAUCAGGAAAUAGAAAAGGUAAUAGAAAUUACCCAAACAACAGGAAAACAUAAACUAAACCUGUUAACAAAACCUAUGAUAGAUCAAAUUCUUAGGAAGAUUCCAGAAAGAAAAAGGAAGAAGAUGAAUUAUGUUCAUCUAGGAGGAAUUCAAAUAUUAGUCAAAUCGACUUUCAAAGAAGGAAUCAAUUGUCCAAUAGUUAUAAAUCUAUUAGAUGAGAGAUUUAUAAAUGCAAGAGAAGGAAAUCUGGGUAUAGUAGAGGGAAACCUAACCUAUACAAAACUCCUUUUCACAUAUUAUCCGAAAUAUUGUAUAUCACUCAAAGAUGCUGAUUUCUAUGACGCAUUGAGUUUACAUUUCCAGAUUAAGAGAAAAGAUCUUUUCAAACCAGGUAAUCAUAUAAUGAGUAUCUAUUAUCAAGCUUUGUACACAGUUACAAACUCAAACUAUGGAAAAGUUUACAAAAAUAAAGAAAUGAUUGAAAUAGAUCAAGAAUGUGCAGGAAUAACUAGAAUUGUUGAAGCUGAAAUUCAGAAAGCACAAAUUCCAGAUGAAUAUGAAAUUCAGUUUGGAAAAACGCAGGAAAUAUGAAGUUCUAGUAAUCCUAGGCUUUUGAUAGAAUAUGGAAGAAACUCCAUUAGAAAAAGUAUAUCUAACAGAUAUCCUUUAAAAAUUUUAGAAACAUCAGACAUCACUAAGAUAAAAGGAAGAAUUUUCAAUGGAAUUGAAUGGAAACAUCAAGAAAUCUUAAUACAAACAGGAGCAACAGCUAACCAUAUAAAAGGAUUUCUACUAGAUGGAAUAUCAAUAAACGAAGGUAAGCAAUACACCUAUCAAACUUUUGAAAGAAAUAACUAUAGUUGUAGAAAUAUGGUAGAUUUACCUAUACAACUAGAUACAAUAAGAUAACAGUACCCUGUUAUAUUACAAAUCAUGAAAGUGAUCAAGAUUUAAUCUUAGGAAAUCUUUUCCUAAACAAAUUAGAAGAUUAUAGUAUAGGAAAAAAUGGCAUAGAAAUGAUAUAUAAGGGCGAAACAUGUUCCAUACCUAAAAUAUAAUGCCAAAAGAAACAAAAUUCAAGGUUUCAGUUUCAUAGAAAUAACCUUCUAUGAUACAAAAAUAACAACUUGUUGUCAAAUAGACAAUGGAUCUAAAGCGAGUCUAGCAAAAUCUUUUUUAAUAAAAGAUUGGGACAUCAAUAAAAACAAUAUCUCUAUGAUUGGAAUCACAGGAGAUAAAGAAAAGCUUUCAAAAUCCAAAGAAAAGGUAGAGAUAAUCUUAGGAUCAAAGAUUGUUUCAAUAAAUAAAUUAUUUGCCUACGAUAAACUAGAAACAGAUUUAUUACUGAGAAAUGAUUUUAAAUAACAGUUUCAAGAUUAUCAUCAAACAUUAUAUAUGAUAAGUCUUAAAACUCCAUGCGGACAUUUCAUAAAAGUUCCAAGAAAACAAAAUCCAUAUAAUCUAGAGAAAGAUAAUGGAGAUUUCAAAAUAAAAUACUUAGAAAAUCUAAGAAAAAUUACUUGUAAAUGUCUUAAUCUAGAGAAGAUUAAAGAAAAUUUGCAAAAAUCUUAUGGAGAAAAGCCAUUAGAAAAAUGGGAACAAAAUCAUGAAAGGGCAAUAUUAACCUUAAAAGACCCUAGCAUAAUUAUUAGAGUUAGACCUAUGCUCUACAAUGAAGAUGAUAAGAUUGAAUUUAAAAUUCAAAUAAAAGAAUUACUCAACUUAAAAUUAAUAAGAAUGAGUAAAGUCCUCAUAGUUGCCCAACAUUUAUGGUAAGAAACCAUGCUGAAAUAAAAAGAGGAAAAGCCCGAAGGGUAAUAAAUUAUAAAGAACUUAAUAAAAAUUGCUUAUUUGAUGGAUAUUUUAUCCCAAAUAAAAAUAAUCUAAUCAACCUUGCAAAAGGAAAAACUUAUUUCUCAAAAUUUGACUGUAAAGGUGGAUUUUGACAAAUAAAAUUAGCCGAAAACUCAAUUCAAUUAACUGCUUUCAGUACUCCUAACGGACAUUAUGAGUGGUUAGUUAUGCCUUUUAGGUUAAGAAACGCUCCACAAAUAUUUCAAAGGAAAAUGGAUAAAAUAUUCUCAGAAAAAGAAUUUUUAAUUGUCUAUAUAGAUGACAUUUUAAUAUGUUCUAAAACAUAUGAAGAACAUUUAAGACAUCUGAAAGAAUUUUCAGAAAUUUUGUUUAAAAAAUGGAAUUGUGUUAAGUCAGAAAAAGGCUGACAUCAAUAAAAACGAAAUAGAAUUCUUAGGAAUGGUUAUUUCAAAAAAUGGAAUUGAACUCCAAUCACAUAAUUCAAAAAAGAUCACAGAAUUUCCUGAUAAACUAACAACAAAACAAGAAAUUCAAAGAUUUCUAGGUUGUUUAAAUUACGCAGGAGAAUUUAUUCCGGGUUUAGCUAAGAAGCGGAAUAUACUACAAAAAUUAAUAAGGAAAUCCAAUAGACUUGGAUGGACAGAAGAACACAUACAGUGUAUAAAAAGUUUAAAAGAAGAAUGUUCCAAGUUGCCAAAGCUCAGAUUACCAGAAGAUAAUGAUAAUUUAAUUUUACAAACUGAUGCAUUUGACUAUCAUUGGGGAGCAUUAUUGCAAACCGAUUUAAAUGAAAUUUGCAGGUACACAAGUGGUACUUUUAAUGAUGCCGAAACAAGGUAUUCUACAAAUGAAAAAGAAUUACUAGCCAUUGUUAGAGGGAUUAGAAAAUUUUCUACUUUCCUUUUACCAAAACAAUUCAUUAUUAGAACUGAUAAUACACAGGUGUCAGGACUAAUAUUUAACAAACUUCCUUCUGAACCUCAAUACAGAAGAUUGCAUUGAUGGCAAGUAUUGUUAUCAUUUUAUUCAUUUUCGAUAGAAUACAUUAAAGGAAAUGACAAUUUUCUUACAGAUUUUAUUUCCAGAAAUGUCCAAUAUGGACAAUCAAACGAAAAUCCUAAUAAAUAGGAUAUACGAAAAAAUGAAAACAGUGGAUAAAUCCAUAGACGACAAGGGCCAGAAGCUGUUUAAAAUCAGAGAUGAAUUAUCCAAAUUAUCUGAACAAUCUCGGAUGUUACAAUCUGAAAUCAAUCAGCUUAGCACUACUCAAGCUGAAAAUAUGAGAAAGUUUUUACUCUUAUGUGAACAUUUGGAUACAUAUCCAAAACAGAAUUCAAAUCUAAAAGGGAAUAUUACUCCCAACAAAGUGGCAGGAGAUGUCCCACUAGCACCUAGUGCCAAAAACAUCUCUAUGGUAAGCACAGAUAUGCCAACUUCUACAUCAAAAGAUGGAGAAAAAAGCCGAGCAAUAAUUGAAGACGAUACUUCGAAAGAAGCAAGCUCAUCCUCAGCAAAAGCUGAAAAAAUUAUAUCUGGGAAAUCAGAAAGUAGAACUAACCCAGUUCCAUCAGGAACAAAAGUAUUUUCUUUUUUUCAGGUUGGCAAACAACAUCAUAAGGAAGAAGAGUAUCUUACAUUCACAAGAUACAUUUACAAUCUCCCAGAAGAAAGUGGAGAAACAUUUGGUGUUUUAGGGACAACAAGUUUGUUUCCUAGAAUAUCAAUUUUUUCAAAUGGAUUACCGAGCUUUACUGCUCAAUUAUUUGAAUUCAGAUAUUUAGAUCGUGUAUACACAAAACCUGAUCUAAAUGAAUUAUCUCAGCUACCAGCAAAACUGUUCAACUCAGUAAAAAAUUAUGCUCAGGGCAAUGGAGUCUAUUGCAGAUUCUUUAGCAUUUCCAUGGAAGGCAAAGAUUUGCAGGCAUACUAUCCAACACUCAACUAUAUUUCAGUUGAAAAAAUUAAAGAUUUUAAUGUAAAAGCAACCGGAGUGGACAAAAAACUUCCACAUCUUAACAAAAAAUGGAUUCAGACCAGAAGAGCAUUAGGGAUAAAGGCCUUAUAUGCUAUUCUUACAAGAUUCUAUAAUGAAGAUUGCAAAGUCAUUGAUCAAAACCAUGAUUGGGUAUUAAUUACUAAAGGAGGAAGAACCAAGUCAAAAGAACUAAAAGAAAGAAUCCUUGACAUAGAGCUCCACCUAUUGGGAGCAACCGAAGAAACAUGGAAACUAGCAUGCAAAAUGCUAGACCACGACCAUCCAUAAUGUAGCAUAUGGACAAAAAGAAGACGUAAGCACUUACGUCAUGGAGAUAGCAACAAAGAAAAGAAUCUUUUCUUUUCUCAAAAGUCAAAAAGAGGAGUCACAUCUUGUCGGCCAUCAACAAAAGAAGACAGACAAGUUCUCAUCUUAUCAACAAAGAAUCUUCAAUUAGUGAAGGACCAAAGAAGAAAUAUGUAAAAGUUAGGGAAAGUCCCUAAAAAUAUAUAUUUUGUAAUAAGUCCCUCCUUCUAUCUAUAAAAGGAGAGGAACUUCAUACUUAAGAAGCAGACUAUAUUUUCUGAGAGAACACCAAUCUAGAAAAAUGUCAGUACCUCCGAGAGUAUGAAUUUGAGUGAGUAGUAACUUCUCCCGCCAGGGAAAUAUUUUUUGCUAAUUAUGUUGUAAGUAUAGUAUAGUAUGUAUGGUGUGUUUGUAAAAAUUCCAAUAUGAAAUAAACAGUUGGUUUCUAUAUCUCUCUUCUUAAAACUCCAUAAAUAGUCUUAAGUGAAGGUUGCGAUCUUCAGCCUUAGGGAGGAACAUAACGAAAUAGCCAUAAGACUGAGGUCGUGGGGGCUAAACAAUGUUCAUGGCCUAAAGGGAAAACUACUGCGGUAGUGAUAAGGACUAUUCAUCGACAAAAGAGAAGGAAGGUAUACACGCAAACUUUUUAUUACAUAUUGUUAAUUUUACGAAUAUACUAUAUCAUGUUAUUGCAUACCUUAACAUAAAUAGAAAUACUUAGUACCUACAGGGAAUUUAAAUAAAAAUGUUAAAAUCUCAUAUUAACAACAUUAACCAUGCUAUAUGCAUAUCAUGUUAUUUACAUAUGUUAAUAUCCAUAUCAUGCUUUUAGCAUAAUGAAAAAUAUACAAAGACAUGUCUAUAACAUAAAAAAAAGAGCUUGGAAGCAUAAAAAAGCUUUAUUUCAUAUGGAUAGAGCAAUAGCUGAAAUGGAACAAGUAUACAGACAUACUAGUCAUCAAUAUGAUGCAAUAAUAUUUUCUAUACAUGAAAUGAAAAUGUACAGAAUACAAGAAUAUUUUGAAUAUAAAAAUACUUUAUUUAUCUUAGCAAAAAGAGUAGAAUUCUAACUGCAUAAAUGUUUGCAUGCACCCUACCCUGUUUUAUCACAGCAGACCCUGUUUUAACACAGCACAAAAUAAUAACCCUGUUUUAUCACAGCAGAUCCUGUUUUAACACAACACAAAAAUGGUAUAUAUAUAUAUAUAUAAUAAUAAUAAUAAUAAUAAUAAUAAUAAUAAAACUCCUAUUUUAUUUAUUUAGUCAAACAGCACCAUUUGGAACUGUUCUAGCAAUGUCAAAGAUUCCAAUCUUUAUGAACAAAUAAUAUCGGCGCAAUAUAAUCGAGCAAAAUUUAGAUGGAUCAAAAUAAAUAUCAUCAAACCCUAUUAAAUAUGGGUUAAUAAUAUGAAUCACAUCCCAAGUCGUUCAACUCUUAAAUUGUUUUUUUUCUUAAUUUGUUUUAUAUACUUAGAGAAAAGUUAAGUAAAUAAAUUGUUCUUUAUUAUAGCUUUACAUGAUAUAUCAAAUGAAAAAAUAUAUUUUUAAUUUGAACUUUUUGACAAGAUUUAUCAUUAGUCAAUUUAGGUUACAUACUUAACUCAAAUUAUUUCAAACUCUUAAACGAGCUAACAAAUCAAGAUAAACUGGAUUAAUGAUGGACAAAUUAAUACUUAAACGUAUUGAACGAAUCAUAUUUUCACAAACUAAUUUUAUCACCACAACAUCGAUUAUUAAUUAUUUUUAAAAGAAUGGAAUAAAUACAUGAGCAGGGCACACAUAACAUUGCAAACUCCUAAAACAAUAUUAUUUUUUUUCCAAUUUUGCACUGUGAUAAUAUUAUUUUAAAAAAAACAGCAGGAAAGUCAAACUUCUUCGAUAUGUAUAAAAUAUUGAACAACUGAUAUCUGGUCUUCGUACAUAAUUACGUAUCAUGAUUCAUGCUAACUUUAUGGUAUAACUUAUUUUUUAAAAUUAUUUUUUCGUAUUUGAUGUGUAUAUAAUUUAAACUCAUUUCGAAAAAUAAUUUCCUUUCGUGUUAAAAAAACUUAUAUCAUUGUGUUAAUUUAAUCGGUGCCAACAUGUUACUCUUUUAGUUUUUAGAUUAUAAUAUCAAAUUUAAUUAAUAUUAAACUUUAUGUAUUAUUAAAAAUAAAAUUCAUAUAAUAUUAUAAAAGAAGUUAUAUAUAGACAGUGUAUCAAACUUAAAUUCUAAUAAGUCCCACAAAUCAAAUUACUAUUAUAUUGUUGUCUCAAUUAUAAAGAACAUAUAUAAUGGGUUAAUCAAUGGUCAACUUUCUAUAUAUGAUUUUUUUCAUUAUCUUUUCUUUAUUUAUUUUACUCUAUUUUUUUUAAAAAAAGAUAUUUUUUUAUUAAUAAAAACAAAUAAAUAGUCAACUUUGGAUUGCUAUGCUAGCUCUUAAAAUUUCAAGGUAAAGGGCGGGACCCAUUUUGGCAAUCUCAAGUUUUUAUUUAUUUUUGAAUUUUAUAUAUUUAAUGUUCGUUAAUCAUUUAAAAUUCAACUAAUUUAAACUUUAUCAAAAAGUUUAACCUAAAAUAAAAUAUAUCUAUAUAUUUUUAAAGCGACUUCACUUCUUCAAAAAUAAUAUUAACCUUUUAUUUUUUAUUUAGAAAAAAAGGGCUGUCAACUUUAUUGUGUCAAACCCUUACACUUAAAGUAAUUAUUUUCUGCAUUGCAAUUUGGACUUUGACAUAAUUGUAAUAAUUAAUUAUAAUGAAGAGUUGAACACAGAUUUGCUUAUUGGAAUAAAUAGCUGACAAUUUCUUGAAGAAAAUGAAAACAACUACUAUUAUAAUAUAAUUGUAAAUACACUUUAUGAUUUUGUGUCACUCUGACUAGAAGUCCUUGAGAAUCUAUUUGAGUCACAAAAAGAUAAAAUUGAUACAAAUAAAUCAUAUUUUUAGAAUAUAACUAAAAUAGGUUUAGUGUAACUUUUUCUUUUUCGUUCUAUGAAAAAUUUGAACAGCAUACGUUAAUAUGUUAACAUUUAAAUUAUAACAUAAAACAGAAGUUUUUCUUAAACUUUAUAAAGUGAAAGUUUUUCUUCAUAAAAAUAAACUAAAUAACUCAAAAUCUUCACUAAAAAGUUAUUGAAAUUUUUUAGUUUCUACAAUAUGAAAAUACAACUAAGUACAUAGUUUUAAUCUAAAUAAAUAUCAUGGCAAAGAGAAUACUAAAGUAAAAUCCCUAAUGCUUAUUAGAUGUGUUAGAAAUUUUAGUUGUAGUAUUUUUCUGUUUCUCAUAGUUUCUACAUUACUUAAUUUUUCUGAUCUUUUCACUUCUCAUUUCAUGUUUCAUUUUUAUUUGACAAGAAAAAGCAUUCGAAAUUUAAUAUAUAAUUUGUCUAAGAGGAUUAUGAAUAUGCACAACACACAUAAUUAGUGUGUGUAUAUGUAUAUGUCUAAAAAGUAUCUUUGAGAACUCUUUUUCUUUUUCCUUCAUUAAAAAAAAAUGAUAAAAUAAGAUUCAUCUAAGCAUUAAUCUAAAAGAAAAAUAAAGAAAAAACAAUGUUCAAUGUUUAUCUUAGCACUUAUUCUAAGAGAAAAAUCUUGUUUAUGAUUUUUAACUUAUAUAUAAACGAAAUUUUGAAUAAACUAGAAUAUCAAUAAUAUCAUUCAAAUCUUCCACUAAUUUGUAUAUUAAUCUUGAAUCAAUGAAUAAAAGAUGAAAAGAAAUAAAUUUCUAAUUUUAAAAAAAUUGUGGGGUAGAUUGUUGGAUUGUCGGGUUGUGCUAUAAACCUUCAAUCUUUCGAGAAUCUUCAAAAGAAAACCUUUGGAUUUUUAAUGUGGUGUCGACUGUUGGGUUGUUAGAUUGGGGAUCAGUGCAUGGUUAUGAAAUCUGAGGAAAAGGUGAAAAGGAAAGUGAAAAGAGUAAUUUUUUUUAUAAAGUGGAAGAAAAAAUUACACUUUAUAAAGUGUAAGAAAAACUCCACUUUAUAAAGUGACAGAUAAAGUUCUGUUUUAUAAAGGAUAAGAAAAAUUUCCAUUUUAUGUUAAAAUUUAGGCGCACCGUUUAAAUUUUUUGAUAAAACGAAAAAAGAAACUACACUGAGUAAAUUUUAGUUACAUCCUAAAAAUAUGACUUAUUUAUGUUAAUUUUAUCUUUUAUGACUCAAAUAGGUUAUGAAUUGUCCUUACUUAUCGUUAAAGGUGAAUUUAGAACGAAUUAUAUAAGUUCAACAAAAAUAUUAACAAUAAAUUUCAACUCGAACCAUAAUAUCUAUAUAUUGUACCAUAUAAUAAGAGGUUACAAGCACAUAAUUAUUAUUUAUUUUUUAUUUUAUAAAUUUGAUGUUCGUAAUAUUUUUUGAAAUUAGAUUAAUUUGAACUUCAUUGAAAAGUAUCACCUCAAAAAGAAAAUAUAUUUCUUUUAUGGAAUAAUUCCAAAGACCUUCCUCGAGGUUUCGCUCUAUAACACUCACCUACUUUAUGAUUUACGAUAUUACGCUUAAACUUAUUUAAAUAAACAUAAAUUCAUUAUAAUUUGACAAAUUUAUCCCUCUUUAUAUUAAUCCAUAUUAUUAAAAAAUGGCUUAUUUAAUAAAUACUUUAAAAAUAAAUUAAUAUGAAGACAAGUGUAUCUUGUUUGAAUACUAGAUAAUGUUGCAUGUGCUAUGCACGGGCCCAAUAAUAUAAAUGGUAUAUUUUUGGGGCUAAUAACCGAGUUUUUGAAGCGAUUGUUUGCGUGGAUAAAGGAAUAAGUUUUUUUUUUAUCACAGACAUGUACUUUCUUUGACGCUAUUUAAGGCAUAAUAAGACUACCCACAUACAACAUUUUUGAAAUAUUUUAUGUUGUUAAUUAUCAUGAUUUAUAGUAUUUUUACGAUAGAUUCACUUCAAGAAUCAGUGGAAUUUUUUUGUAUUUUUUUUCAAAACAUAUUUUAUGUUGUCAAUUAUUAUGAUUUAUAGUAUUUUUACACAAUUUUUAAAUAUAAAAAAAAUAAGACAAAUAAAUUAAAAUGGACCCAAUAUAUGUUAUUUUUGUUGUCUCAAUUUAUGUGACACAAAUGAAAUUUGGAGAGUCAUCCAAAUUUUCAUAUCUUUUUAAAAAAUCUUUGAAGUUAUUAAUUAUUGUGAUUUAUAAUAUUUUUAUGUAACUUUGAAAUAAUGUACAUUACUGGUCACUUUGUCCUAAUUUAUGUGAUAUGGAUAAAAUUACAAAAUUAACCCUUUUAAAAUGUCUUUUAGAUAUUUUAAGUUGUUAAUUAUUAUUAUUUAUAAUACUUUUUUGGUAAUAUUUAAAUGAUAUGUGUUAUUUUUUCUGUCCCAAUAAAUGUGAGCUUGAUAGAAUUCUGAGAGUCAACCUAUGUNNNNNNNNNNNNNNNNNNNNNNNNNNNNNNNNNNNNNNNNNNNNNNNNNNNNNNNNNNNNNNNNNNNNNNNNNNNNNNNNNNNNNNNNNNNNNNNNNNNNNNNNNNNNNNNNNNNNNNNNNNNNNNNNNNNNNNNNNNNNNNNNNNNNNNNNNNNNNNNNNNNNNNNNNNNNNNNNNNNNNNNNNNNNNNNNNNNNNNNNNNNNNNNNNNNNNNNNNNNNNNNNNNNNNNNNNNNNNNNNNNNNNNNNNNNNNNNNNNNNNNNNNNNNNNNNNNNNNNNNNNNNNNNNNNNNNNNNNNNNNNNNNNNNNNNNNNNNNNNNNNNNNNNNNNNNNNNNNNNNNNNNNNNNNNNNNNNNNNNNNNNNNNNNNNNNNNNNNNNNNNNNNNNNNNNNNNNNNNNNNNNNNNNNNNNNNNNNNNNNNNNNNNNNNNNNNNNNNNNNNNNNNNNNNNNNNNNNNNNNNNNNNNNNNNNNNNNNNNNNNNNNNNNNNNNNNNNNNNNNNNNNNNNNNNNNNNNNNNNNNNNNNNNNNNNNNNNNNNNNNNNNNNNNNNNNNNNNNNNNNNNNNNNNNNNNNNNNNNNNNNNNNNNNNNNNNNNNNNNNNNNNNNNNNNNNNNNNNNNNNNNNNNNNNNNNNNNNNNNNNNNNNNNNNNNNNNNNNNNNNNNNNNNNNNNNNNNNNNNNNNNNNNNNNNNNNNNNNNNNNNNNNNNNNNNNNNNNNNNNNNNNNNNNNNNNNNNNNNNNNNNNNNNNNNNNNNNNNUUGGGCCUAAACUCUCUUUUAUAAUAUAGUAGAAUAGAAAAAAGUAGAAAAAGUAGAAUAGAAAAUAGAAUUUUCUAUUUUCUAUUCUGAAAAAAAUAGAAUUUUAAAAGUCCCCCAAGUAUAAUAUAUAAUAUUCAAGAUUGGGAAAAGUCUCAAUCUUGAAUAUUAUAUAUUAUACUUGGGCCUAAACUCUCUUUUAUAAUAUAGUAGAAUAUAUUCUCUAUAUUAUUACUCUUUAUUAGAAGUGGCAGGUGUACGAACACUGCUAUAUGCAGUUGUACAAAAUGCACCAAUAGUUGUAUUCUUUUAAGGAUAAUUUUGUAAUUUUAUCUUAUUACUUUUAUGGCAACACGUGUAUUUCAAGUGUGAUAACAAUAUUCUUCCUCACUUUUCUCUUCUAUGAAGUUCUUCACUUCUUCAGUGAAAGGACCGAAUGUCCAAGCUUUUCCUUUCUCUGUUCUGCGACUCUCUCAGUUCGUUCUUCUAUGAGUUUUUCUUUCACCAUUCUCUCUGUUUGCGCUCUCCCGUGAUUUCUAUCUGCGAUAACAUUCCGUUCUAAUGGAUGUGUUGUUUUAGUUCCAUAAAUUAGGGUUUAGUUCUGCUCUAAUAUCGGUGAGAAGCUUUCACAGAAUAAAAUAGAAUUUACUGAAGUGUUUGGCUCUUUUGUUAAUAGAUUCUUUACAUGUGACUGUUCUUUUUGUCAAUUUUAUAGUUGUGAAUGGCAUUACGAAAACUCGAAGAGCAUAGAGGAAGGCUAUGUCAGCAAAAUUUUCAAAGAUAAGUACGUAAUACACUUAUAUUUUAUCAAUUUGUGAAAGUCAUUCGUUUUUCGCUUUCCUUCGACUUUUCCCCUCUUGGUAUAAGUUCACUACAUAAACCUCUUUGUGCUAAAAUUAAAUGAAAGGAGAAGGGCUCAAUGAUUUAAGUAGACUAAGUAAUUUAGGAUUUUUGUGAUGUUUACUUUGCCGUUAUACUUUUUCUUGAUGAAUUUGCAGGACUUAUUUUCAAAUUUAUGGUGAGUGUGUUUUCUGUUUUAAAAAAUAUUGGUUAGUGUUAAUCAAAUAAACAAUAAAGGUAAUGCUUAAAUUGCAAGCUUUAGUCAAAAUACAGACAAAUUCUCGAGUCAACUAAUUAUUUAUACAAUAAAAGUUGCACAGUUUUUCCUCUUGCGGUUUCAACUAUAACUUCGAGGAGCAUAUUAAAAGGAGCUUUAAGAUUUUUCAUGGAAAAGACGAUGGUUUUCAAAACAUAGUGACCUGUUUCAUUCUAUAAAGGACUAUCGAAGGUGAUUGUUACUCAAUUUUUAAUAUUAGACUGAGUUGUAUUUGCCGUUUUAGAUCGUUAAGCUUUCUGUACUUUCAUGUUACUAUUGAAAGUUAUCGAAUAAUACAAAUUACGCCUAAAAUUCAAAUAAUUGAGAAACGAUAUAUUGUUUAUCAAGAAUUAGGUUGUUGUUGAUCAUUAUUAUAUAAUUAAUCUUAUGUAAAAAUACACUACAAAAAAUGAAGAAAAAGAAGAAUGAAGUGUUCUAGGUGAUGAGAAACAUGUCAUUAGAGGUAAAGUGCAGGAAAUUCAACGCACCAUCUAUUCCUAUGAGUCAACGACUUUGGUGGAAAGGACACUGAAGUUGAAGUGGUAAAUGAUGUAAUUGACACAAAUCACAUAAUAAAAAGAAUUGUAAUUUGUAAUCAGAAUCUUGCACAAUGUGAUGGUAAACCUGUAUCGUGGUGAACAGAUACUAUCUCCGUUGGACUACAUUAUAGUACGUCUGUCCCAAGUUUUGCUCCUGCUGUCUUUAAGCCUUUUAAUGAAACAAGUUGAUUGAAGAGAUUCAACGAAGGUAACUUCGAAGCUUGAGGCAUUUUCCCAUUAGGUAAGGGGUUCUUGAAGUCUUCUUUUAGUAAUGGCACCUCAAAAUCUGCCUUCUUAUGUUUAACUAAAUUAUUCUUAGCUGCUAUGUGAGCUCCUGGUUCCAUAUGGUUUGUCGAAAAGCUCAUUUGAUUUGGAAAGUUCGGAUAAAGGCUACGUAUCCUCUUAAGUACAUCAUGUCUAUCAAGAACUUCUUCCAUGGAGCUUGCCAUUCAUUAGUUCUUGAUUUUGGUGUUUGUACGAAUUUUGCUUAGGAUCUUCCGUGAAUCUCAUGUUCAUGUAGACGUAGAACUCCUUCCAUUGCUUGAGGGAAAAACACUGCGCCCCAACUGCAAGACAGCUGAUGGAGAUAUGAUGUGUUUGGAUGAAUGUGUUUGAAGAACUCAAUUGCAUUUCAUUUAGGCCUUUCUUUGACAACUUCCACCAAACGUGGCGUGUAAAGAGAGAUGGAGGAAAUGGUUCAUCUCUAGCACACAGAUUCAUUUCACAAAUUGUCCCUUUUUGUUAAAAUUAACUUGUGACCUUAACUAAUUCCUUUGAUUUUGCUAAAUCUAAACAGGAAACAACAUUUUACCACUACAAUCUUGCUUUGGUGAUGAUGCGGGACAACCCCAGAAAAUUAUGCUAUUGACGUCCCAUUAUUUGAAUAAGCAAACCUAGCCAAAAUAGUGGUAAGAACAGAAUUGUCUCUGGCAGCAACAUAAAAUUAUUUAUAUGACUCUUGAAUUACCUAAGCUUGAUCUUUAAUGGUUUGUAAAAGAGCAUGUUAUGUCUUGGAAGAUAAGACAACAUGUAAUGACUGCCAGAAUAAAUACUUCACAUGUAAUGAACUCAACAAGUUUUUUAUACGUACUUCUGAGGAAAUGUUGUAAUACUGAUAUGAUUUUUUUAUUUGUCCAUAUUGGGCCCGUGCUAACACGGGCGUUCCUAUCUAGUAUAUAUAUAUUAUAUAUAUAUAUAUAUAAGCCAACAAGAGUUGGGACUAACAUAGCAUAUACAAGUUGUACCAAAAGUAAAGUGAAUUGUACCAAUAGGGUUAAUUUGGUAAUUUGACUCAUUAUAACUAUGGUGUAUAUUCAUCGGUGAAACACGUGUCCUAGCUCCAUGAUGUAUGAUAUAUCCCUGUUGCUUUCCAUCCAUUCUCUGUCCCAAAAAAAUGUUUUGCAAAAUGGAAGCACUCAUAUGAAAUUCUCAUUUAAACUGCAGACCUUCCUAGGUAUGCACUGCUUCUUCCUUUCCUUCUUUCUUUUCAUUUUUAUUUUGCCAUUUGAUUUUAGAUUUGUCUUGUCGAUUUUUUCAUUCGAUGAGUUCCGACUUUUUUUUAUCUAUCAAUUUUGGUGUUUAGGUUUUGGUAAUGUUGCAUGCACUAAAUCUAAACUUGAUUGGAUGUUGUUGUUAUUGCCGUUUACUCCUCUUCUUCUCCGUUGUCCCUACUUGUAGUUUUGUAUUUCAAUUUUAGGAAUUUACAGGUACUUGCACAAUAAAGGAAAGGAAAGAAAUUGAAAGAUGCGAUGCAGGGAACAUUGAGCCUAAUUCUAAAAAUAUAACCAUUAUCAGGUACAUCGAACUUAAUUUUGAUUUUUUUUCUCGAAAACUCUUUUAAGUGGAAGGAUUAGCUAUUAGAGUUGCCCUAUUUUCACAACCCUUCCUCCUAUGUGAAAAGUCCAGUAUAUCUCCCUCUUUAAUUGAUUUAAUUUUCCAAUUGUAUAUGCAGUUGGAUUAUAAUGUUGAAUACUAACGUAUGUAUAUGUAGAUAAACAUAAACUAUAAUGUUCUUAUAUGACAAGGGAGACUUUCUUUUAACAUGAAGAAUUCUUUGUAAGAUAAGUUAUUUAUUUUUCAUAGAGUGCAAGUUUAGGUAUAUAAAUAGCAAACAAUUUCCAUUUUAACAUAUAUCUUAUUCAUUUAUCUAAAAGCUCUGCCUUCAUUGUACUACGACGUUGCUUCUUAAAGCACCUAAUUGAGAGAACCAAAACAGACAAGCCUCAAGAGUUAUACAUGUUCAUUAAUAAAAGUAAUAAACUUAAGUUUAUUUCUUUUACAUGUGAUUCACUCACUGUAUUACUUCAAAAAUAAUGAAUAGUUGGUGGUUUUAUAUAAUGUCUCUUUACUUACUGUUUGUCUACUAUAGAUUGGAAGACCAUAGGGUGAGAUUAUAUUCAUUUUGUCCCUAUAUAAGAUGACAAAAUUAUGUCGAUUAUUGUCUCUAACUCCUUUGAGAAGAGAUUUUCCAUUUUGUAUAGGAUAGUCAAGGGAUGGGAUGGGGGCAUUGUAAUCCAGCAAAUUAAAACACAAUGGGAUGGAUGGGUGAGGAUUUAGGGGUAGCUGGUGUAGGAUAGUCUAGGGAUGGGACGGGGGAUUGGAUGCAAUGGCGAAUUUGAAAUUUUCACUAAGGUUUAAAAAAAAUAGUGCUAGGCAUUUGCACUUAAACAUGUAGGUGAAUUUUGAAUUCAUUAAUGAUAUGAGUUGUUCUGCUUGUGCUGGAUCUGUAGAAAAGGCAAUUAUGGGAUUAAAGAAGUAGUUGUUGAUGUGUUGAAUAACAAAACUCAAGUUAUUUUUUACCCCACUUUUGUCAAUAUGAGUGAUCUGAUUCUCAAUUUUUGGGAUUUUUAGUUGCAGAAUGAACGUAAAAAUUUUGAUCUUUAUGGAAGUUUUAGUGGAUUCUGGUAAUGAUUUAGGCUUAUUAUGUAGAAAUUCUACAAGGGGUUAUCCAGGUUUAAGAUUUGUUUUGUUUGUUUUGAUAAUUGCGGUGUUUGAGCUAGCUUGCAUGGACCUCGACUAAUUUUAUGGGUACUUGCUACCUCUCACGAGCAUAGGGAUCAGAUAACUCUGUCCCCUCGAGGCUGUGAAUCGAGGUUUAUGAUUCUUGAAAAACAGAGUUUGAGUUAUCUUCUGCCUUAGCUAUGUUAGUGUGAGUCCAUUCUUUUGUGCUUAUUUCAAUAACAACAACAUCAACAUACCCAGUGUAAUCCCAUAAGUAGGAUUUGAGGAGGUAGAGUGUACGUAGACCUUACCCCUACAUAGUGGAGGUAGAGAGACUGUUUCCAAAAGACAAACUUAUUUCUGCAAAAGAGUACAAAUUUGUUUCUUUUUUCAAGUUUUUCUGGAUUUUGCUAAUCGUAUGAACUAAUUACGUACAGUUUGAAGCUUUCCUUUAUAUUUUAUUUAUGAUUUUUAUAGAAGUAAGCCACAUUGAAUAUGUUAUGUAUGUUCUAAGCAUCUUGGUUGUUUAUUUAUAAGUGAGUUAUAUAAAUUAAAUUUUUUAUCGAGAUAUACUAAAAAAUCAAUUGAUUCCUAAUUAACGGUCAACUCAAUAGGGAGUGGAGAAGACAAAGGUGCAUCAUAUAUGUGUCAAAGUUGCUCAUGAAGAAGUUAUACGUUUUGUGUGCACCAAAUUGAUCUGAAUAUCCUUAACGCAAUAUGUAACUUUGGACCGCAGGGUGUUGAAGUAUCAGCACACAACUAGGAACACAAAAUAGCUAUCCACCAUCUUCUUGAAGUUGAACACUUGCUCAGGUAUACGUUACUGUUUUUUCCCUGUUGGUUCAUAGAGGCUAUGUUGCUCGGGCUCUCCAAAAAUGUAUCAGGACCUUUAAGAGUCCAAGCAACAUAACAUAGAGGUACCUUUGCACCCAACACUCAGUAGUUAGGAAAGUCGGGCCUGCCUCUAAUAUUGGGCUUUCAACUUCUCAGGUGAAUUAUGCAGUCUCACUCGAUAGUGGGGAUCGAUUGUUAGGAACCAGGAAGAAUGAAUUAGCAAAGAUGAUAUGCUGAGCUAGACUAUAGCAACCUCCUUUUGGAUUAUUCUCUUCCAAAAAACUUGAUCUCCUAAUUUAAAAUUGGAAAAAAAUCCAAAAAAUAGAAUUGUAUGUGUCAAAUUGAUAUGAAUUGUGGCCUUACAUGUACUUCAACAACGGGAUAAUAUUGAAAUGGUUUGUUUCCUACUGUGCUUAAUUACCUUUUUGAACGAUUCUGGAAAUAUCACGGGGCUUACAAGGUAGAAUUAUUACUUUUAGACUCAUUGAUGAAUUUAAUAUCGUGCGCGCUAUGCAGUAGUGAAGUUGUUUCUCCUUUCUUUUGGCAGGUCUUUAAAGGACUCUUGAAUAAGUAUGGUCCUGACAGAGUCAUUGAUAUACCAAUUAUUGAGGUUGUUUUCAUUCAUCAUCAAUGUUCUAUAAUCUUACUUAAUUCCCUUCCAUUUUUAGUCACCGGAAUAUAAUCAAUUUGCAUCCUUUAUUUUAAUUCUCUUUUAGCCAUCAUGACACGUAGAUUUUUUAUUCUAGCAAUAUCUUGAAAUCUUUUCAGCCGCUCUGCAAUACAUUACAUUAUAACUGGUGAUGUAAUCUCAGGCACACGAAAAGAGAGCAAUUUGAUUGUUGCACCUUUAAUGAUAAGUUUGAUACUUUAGUUGUUCUCCUCAGCCGUACAUCUAGAUGACUAAAUUUGCUCACCGAGUGUUGAUUGGAAAUUUUUAAAGUAAAGUAUUAUAUUUUUUCCCUCUACAUAUCAAGAGAUUCUUUAUUCAGCUAUUUCACGGAACAUAGUAGGCAUGAACAUAAUAGGAGACCUACUGGUUUUGAAUUUGUUAUUGUAUGCAUAACUUAACUGCUAAGGAGAAAAAGAGGAUUAUGGAAAUUUCUUACUUCUCUGUUGAGGGUUUCAGCAUGCAGCUGGCCAAGUAAAUUUCCUACUGCUUAGGUUAAAUGACCAUGCUUGAGAUUAAAGUUUUAAUAAAACUCUUAUUUUUGCGAGACAUGAACACUAAAGAUAUAAUGUAAUGUAAUUUAGAUUUUCUUUCCUUAUAUUUAAGAUUGUUAUUAUGUUGUCUAAUUGCAGGAAGUAACUUUCUUAUUUUUGCGACUUUUGGUUACGGAAAAAUAUAAGUUUUUUUUUUGACGGAGAUCAUCCAUCUUUGAAAGCCCAAAGGCCAAAUGCGUAAACGUGUUGAACAUGAGCAAAUUUUCUUGGUGUAUGGUUUAGAUUAAAAAAUGUCUUAACUUUUUGUCAUCUCCUUGAAGGUAAAUUUGAUUUUGAUUUAUUGAAAAUUCUAUGUCAGGUGUAGUAACCUAUAUUAAAGGAGAGAAAAAGAUUAUUGAGUUUUGUCUUCUAAAUAUAUUGCUUUCGUGUGUACAUGUGACUUGUGUUUCUGGUUGUGUAGAACUCAAUACACGACGACUACAAAAAUAAGAAAUUUUGAAGGUGGAAAACAAUACACAUCUUAAAGCUCUACCUACAGGCAACAGCUUUCAAACUGGAGGAGGCACCAAAAAAAAAACUUGUGGUUGAGUUGGCAGGUAUAACAGACGGUCAAAACAGUUCAAUUUACGGAUAACCUGAGUUGAAGAUACGAGUAUUAGAUAAAUAGUUUAUUAAUGGUGUUAUUUUGUUUUGGAUCGGUAUAAUGUCUAUGUGAAGGUGUUUCUUUGGUGUAAACUUAAGUUUUUGUUAAUUCAACAUACUUUUGUAUCAAUAUAGGUACAAACAUUUAAAAUUGUGUAUCUUUAUGCGUUUAUCACUUUAAAGUGUAAAAAUGUUGGGUCCAUGCUUGAGCACGGGCCAUUGCCCCUCUAGUAUAUAUAUAUAUAUAUAUAUAUAUAUAUAAACUUAUUAUUGAGACAAUGUUAUACAUGGACCUAGAUAGAGACCAUGCUGAUAAUAUUUUGUAGAAGACUUACGAGAGUUGUCUUGACUUUGUAGGUAACAUUAAUGUCUCUAAAUCAUUAAUUAAGAAAAAAAUAUGAAACGAGAAAAAAAAAUUCUAGGGCAAAGGGGAAAAUAUACUCCUCAAUUUUGCGAUUUAGAACAAACAUAUUCCUUAUUAAAAAAAAUAGUGAAUAUAUACCUUUGUUGUCUAACAAAUAAUGCAUAUAUAUCCUUAUUGUCUAACAAAUAGUGUAUAUAUUUAUCCUUUUCGCUAACAGACUGAAUUAAAAAAUAUCUUGAAACUGAUUUUUAAAUUUCACAAAUGUCACAUGGCUUAAAAUCAUUACCUCAUCAAUUUUUUACCUACCCAGAUCCUACCACAAUUUAAAAAAAUCUCAAUCCUUCUUCUAUUUAGACUUGAUCCAAAUCCAUUUUAUGAUUGAGUAGAUAAGGAUUUUUUUUUAGUUGGAUCGAGUCUAGAGAUGUAAAUAUGGGGUGAAAUAAUUUUCUUAAAUCACGUGACAUUUUUGAAAUUAGAAACUCAAUAUAUAUAGAUAUGUUAAAAAAAUGGUCAAUAUGCAUCAUUUGUUAAGCGUUAUAGGUAUACAUGUAUCAUUUUUUACUGAGAGGUAUAUCUAUUCUAAAUCACAAAGUUUAGAGAUAUAUUAUCUCUCUUCCCUUUUGUCAACUAUACAAACAUAGUAAUGAAUGAUCAAACAUAGCCUAUAGUUGCUAGAAAAAUCUCCACCACUAGAUGUCUUAUCCUUAUCUCUAGUAAGAAUAAGAAAGAAAAAAUGUCUUAUUUAAAACUAUAAGAUUCUGGUAAAUUCAUCUAUAAGAAUGAUUUCUCUUUUAAAAAAUAAAAAGAAUAUUUUAAAAAGUAUAGAGUAAACAUAUUCGUGAUAUGGUAGAUCUCUUUUAGCGCUCGAAUGAGCUGUGUAGAAAUUUAUCAUUUUAAACUCUUUUAUUUUUGAGUCCCCACCCAUAAUAAGUACCCUUCCUCUCUUGCUUUAAUUAUAUUCAAUAGAGAAAGUAAUGAAUUGCUUCAAUUUAUCAUUGUCUUACUUUUGACAAGAGAAAAAAGGACAGCUUUGCUGUAGAUUGUAUCACUAGCAAAAGAGAGAGAAAUCACUCAUCAUUUUUGUUUGCAAAUUACACCUAAAGAGUCGUUUAGUAAUUGGUAUGCAGGUAUUAAUAAUACAUGAAUUUGCUAUGUAUUAUUUUGUGCAGAGUUUAAUUACUUAUUAUUUUCACAUCUCAUACCGAAUAAUGUUAAAUCCUCUCCUUCCCAACCACCAUGAUCCCCCCAUCCCACUCUUUUCCCAUUAGGGAUGGCAAAUGGGGUGGGGCGAUUGUGGUUGCUGGGAAAAUUUGUAUAAACUCGCAAGGAUUUCAACCCGCCUAGCAUCACAUAACAUAAUUUGUUGUUUUCACACCUCACACGAACCCGUCCUAUAUUAUUAUUCUUUGUUCUAUUUUUCCGUCUCUAUUUUUUUCCUCGAAGUCUUUCAAGUUGAAUUAAGAAAAUGAGAAGACACGUGAUUCCAAAUAUUUUUUAGUUAAUCCAAAUGAUUUUUUUUAAAAAAAAAAUAGACAUGCUAUCUAGUACAAAGAGGAGGAAAAAAAUGCUUUUAAUUAUAAUAAGAUAGUUUAAUUUAAACUUAGCAAUUCUAUAACCCAUAACCGAUUUCCAUAAAUUUUCUAAAAACAGUAUUUGAACCUACACCGCUCCAUUGUCAUCCCUACCUCCCAUUGAUUUUUAUUAGGUUUGGUUGUAUAAUUAAGAGGAGUAAGAUUCUCAGGUAAGUUGGAUUGAUAACAAUUGACCUUAAUCAAUUUCUUUUGGCACAACUUGUUAUGUCUUGGUUCCAUGCUUUAGUCCUUUUCCACUACAUUAUAAUAACCCAACAACAAAUAUAGAAUAGAGCAUAUGGUUGCAGAACAUAUAUAUUAACUCCCUUCAAUUUAAGUUUUCUGUUUAUUUGAGCACAAAGUUUAAAAAAUAAAAAGAGACUUCUGAAAUUUAUGAUUAAAUUAAAAUUGUGUAGUUUUUCAAAUUUUGUGGUCACUUACAAGGUAGAAUGUAGGAAUUAGAAAACUUAUUAAAUAUAAAAAAAAAUGCUCUUUUUGAGACGUAUUAAAAAAGAAAAGUAAAACACUUAAAUCAAAAUCAAAGAAGUAUAUAAGUUUGAAGUUUGAACAAUUUAUUUUGUUGAAUUUUUACUUAAAAAUUCUAAUGAGUUAAAAUAUUCAACGUUUGUAGCUUCUUCUAACACAUUAUUACUAUAGCAAUUAUAUGCACCUAUUAUUAUCUCCAAAAACAGGUAUUAUAAAUGUUAAUGUGCUUCUUCAAGGAACUCUGUCACUAAACAUUGAGCUUCAAUACACGGCAAAGACAGCUUGGUGCACAAAAUAUUUCACGUUAGUAUGGUUCGAGAAAAGGGUGCACCUCAAAUACUUAAUAAAAAAAUUAGUAUCUAUUUUUUCACGACUCGAAUCUAUUACCUAUAAGUUACAUGCCAACAUAUUCAUGAUAAGAUAGUCCCUUUUAGCAGUAUAAGUAAAAUGAGUUGUGUAGAAAUUUAGUAAGUAAAAAAUGUAAGGAAGAAAGUGCGAUGAUUUACCAGAAUGUAAAGUAUCAUUUAAACAAGGGAUCCAAUUCUGUUAAAUUCAAAAUUCCUAAAUAAUAAUAUUUUCAAGAAUGAUAGUUUUUUUUUUGGGAAAAUGCAUAAGUACCCCCAAUCUAUGCCCGAAAUCUCAGAGACACAGUUAUACUAUACUAAGGUCCUAUUACCCCCAAACUUAUGUUAUAAAUAAUUUUCUACCCCUUUUUGGCCUACGUGGCACUAUCUUGUGGGCCCAACGCGUGUUGACAAUUUUUUCAAGGAUAGUGCCACGUAGGCCAAAAAGGGGUAGAAAAUUAUUUAUAACAUAAGUUUGGGGGUAAUAGGACCUUAGUAUAGUAUAACUGUGUCUCUGAGAUUUCGGGCAUAGAUUGGGGGUACUUAUGCAUUUUCCCAAAAAAAAAACUAUCAUGAUACUUAUGCAUUUUUCUUUUUUUUUUCUUUUCUUUUAAAAAGAGAAAAGAACUUUUCAAAAAUGUUAAGUGAACAUAUUUAUGAUAUGAUAUGUCCUUUUUAACACUAUAAUAAGCUGCGUAGAAAUCUAUCAUUUUAAGCUCUUUUAUUUUUGAGUUUCCCACUUAGACCCCCCUUUCUACAUCCCAAAUAAUUUACCAUUUUUCUCUUGCUUCAAUUAUUGAAUUGACAAAGUAAUGAAUUGAUUCAAUUUAUCCCCGCACCCCACCCCACCCCCCCCCACUAUGAAUGCCAGUUGUAGAUUGUACCAAUUAUACAUAUUGAUUGAGUAGUUAAGAGGGGUAGGUUUCUGGAAUAAAUUGAUUGAUGACAAUUAAGUUUUAUCAUUUACUUUUGACACAACUUGUGUUGUCUUGGUCCUAUGCUUUAGUCCUUUUCCACUACAUUACAUUAACCUAACAAUCAAUCUAUAGAAUAGAGCACAUCGUUGUAGAACGGAUGCACUAACUCUGCUCAAUUUAAGUAUUAUAGUUUGUUUGAGCAUAAAGUUUAAAAAAUAAAAAGAAAAUUUUGAAAUUUAUAAUUAAAUUAAAGAUGUGUGUAGUUUUUCAAAUUUUAUAGUUUUAAACUUACAAGGUAGAAUGUAGGAAUUGAAUAUAGAAAGAAAUACUCUUUUUUAAGACAUAUCAAAAUAGAAAAAUAAGACACUUAAAUCAAGUUUGAUGAAGUAUAUAAGUUCUAACAUAUUUAUUUUGUUGAAUCUUUACUUAAUAUUAAUAAUUCUAUUGAGUUAAAAUAAUGAACAUUUGUAGCUUCUACUAACACACUAUUACUAUAAAUUAUAAUAAUUAUACAUGCCUAUUAUUAUCUCCAAAAACACGUAUUAGCAAUGUUAAUGAGCUUCUUCAAAGAACUCUGUCACUAAACAUUGAGCUUCAAUACACAGUUGAUAAGGCAAGGGUAGCUCUGGAUGCACAAAAUAUUCCACGUUAGUAUGUUUUGAGAAAAAGAUGCAACUCAAGCACUUUAUAAAAAAUAUUUGUAUCUAUUUUUCACUGUUCGAAUUUAUGACCUAUAAAUUAUUCGAAGGCAAAUUCACCGUUACUUUAACAUAUUCAUGAUAUGGUAGUCUCUUUUAGCACCGUAAAUAAAAUGAGUUUAGAAAUUUAUCAUUUUGAACUCUUUUAUUUUUGAGGGGCCCUUUUACACCAACCUUUACUCUCUUGGUUGAAUUAUUGAAUUGAGAAAAUAAUAAAUCAGAUGAAGUCUUUGUCUUCUUAUAGAGUGAAAAGUCUUUUUUUUUUUUCUCUGACCAAAUGACUAGUAAGUGUCUUAAAUAGGAAUUACUUUAUCUUAACAAAAUCUCUACCAUAAUUAGGUUUUAUUUUAUCCUUAAUUGAUAAAACAAUAAACACAAGUAUGAUAUAUGAAAGAUGUGUUGCUCGAAAUUACUAUUGUCUACUUAUAUUUUAAUUUAGUAGGAUUAUUAAGUAAAUAUUGAACAAAAUAAAUUUGUUAAAAUUUACAUAGCAAAACAAGUCAACAGAUGUAUAUGCAUCCUCACAUAAACGUGUGGGGUCCACCUGUGUACAACCCCCAUGUGCCUUCAAUUAUUCAAUUGAGAAGGUAAUGAAUAGGAACUAGCAAACAUAGUUGUACCAAUUACAAGUUCUUGUUUGCAAAUUUACUAGUAAAAGAGAGAGAGAGAUUGAGAGAUAUCAGUGAUCAUUCUUGUUUGGAAAUUACUCUUAGCAUUCAACAGGUAAAGUAAAGUUGUUAGUAAUUGAAGAUUGAAAAAUUUAUCUUGUCAAAAUUCUUAAAAAAUCAUUUUGUGUUCUCCUUGUUUUGCUUUUCAGAUUUCAAAAAUGGAGAUUGGCUUAGCAGUUGGUGGUGCAUUUCUCUCUUCAGCUUUGAAUGUUCUCUUUGAUAGGCUUGCUCCUAACGGUGAGCUGCUCAAAAUGUUUCAGAAGCGUAAGAAUGAUGUUCAGCUCUUAAAGAAGCUGAAAUUGACUUUGCUUGGUCUUCAAGCUGUGCUAAGUGAUGCAGAGAACAAGCAGGCAUCAAAUCCAUCUGUGAGCGAGUGGCUUAAUGAGCUUCGACAUGCUGUGGACUCUGCUGAAAACUUGAUUGAACAAGUCAAUUAUGAAGCUUUGAAGCUUAAGGUGGAAGGUAAGCAUCAUAAUCUUGCAGAAACAAGCAACCAGCAAGUAAGUGACCUCAACCUGUGCUUGAGUGAUGAUUUCUUUCUUAAAAUAAAGGAGAAGUUGGAAGACACUAUUGAAACAUUGAAAGAUUUGCAAGAACAAAUUGGUCUCCUUGGCUUAAAGGAGCAUUUUGGUUCGACUAAACAAGAAACUAGAACACCUUCAACUUCUUUGGUUGAUGAUUCUGAUAUCUUUGGUCGGCAGAAGGAAUAAAGGAUUUGAUUGACCGUUUAUUGUCUGAAGAUGCAAGUGGAGGAAACUGACUGUAGUUCCUAUUGUUGGAAUGGGCGGUGCGGGUAAGGACAACACUAGCUAAAGCGGUUUACAAUGAUGAGAAGGUGAAGAACCAUUUGGUUGAAAGCUUGGUAUUGUGUUUCUGAGCCAUAUGAUGCUUUGAGAAUAACGAAAGGGUUACUUCAAGAAAUUGGCUCAAUUUGACUCAAAGGAUGAUGGCAAUCUUAAUCAGCUACAGGUCAAAUUGAAGGAAGCCUGAAGGGAAGAAGUUUCUUGUUGUCCUUGAUGAUGUGUGGAAUGAUGACUAUAGUGAGUGGGAUAACCUGAGAAAUGUUUUUGUACAAGGAGAUAUGGGAAGUAAGAUCAUUGUAAUUACACGUAAGGAGAGUGUUGCUCAGACGAUGUGUGCUGAUUGUUGCGCAAUCACCGUGGGGACUCUGUCUAGUGAAGACUCUUGGGCUUUAUUCAAACGACAUUCACUAGAAAAUAGGGAUCAUCCAGAACUUGAAGAGGUUGGGAAAAAAAUUGCAGUGAACUGCAAAGGGUUGCCUUUAGCUCUAAAGGCACUUGCUGGUGUUUUACGCGGCAAAUCAGAGGUAGAUGAGUGGAGAAACAUUUUAAGAAGUGAAAUAUGGGACCAGCGUUGUUGGAAUGGUAUAUUACCAGCAUUGAUGUUGAGCUACAAUGAUCUUCCUGCACAUUUGAAGCGAUGCUUUGCUUUUUGUGCAAUAUAUCCCAAAGAUUAUCAAUUCUGCAAAGACAAACUUAUUUACCUGUGGAUUGCUAAUGGUCUUGUAAAGCAGUUUUGUUCAGGUAACAAAUACUUUGACGAGUUGAGAUCAAGAUCAUUGUUCGAACAGGUCCCAGAGUCUGAAUGGCAAUCGGAGAGAUUCAUAAUGCAUGACCUUAUCAAUGAUUUGGCCCAAACUGCAUCUUCAAAACUUUGUAUUAGGUUGGAAGAGAACGAAGGAUCUGAUGAUAUGUUGGAACAAUGUCAGCACAUGUCCUAUUCCAUGGGACAAGAAGGUGAAUUUGAGAAAUGCUGACGACAUUGGUAACUUUGAGAAAUUGAAACCACUCUCCAAAUUAGAGAAGCUGAGGACAUUGCUUCGAACCAAUAUCAGUUUCUUUUCUCUGCUAAGCAAGAGGGUGUUGCAUAACAUACUUCCAAGACUGACAUCCUUAAGGGCAUUAUCAUUGUCUCAUUACCAUAAUAAGGAGUUGCCAAAUGACUUGUUUAUCAAAUUAAAGCUCCUCAGAUUUUUGGACCUUUCUGAAACAUUGAUUGAAAAGUUACCAGAUUCCAUUUGUGCAUUGUAUAACUUGGAGACACUUCUCCUGUCAUCUUGUAAAAAUCUUAAGGAGCUACCGCUGCAGAUGGAGAAGUUGAUCAACUUGCGUCACCUCGACAUAACCAACACUCUUCGCUUGAAGAUGCUGCUACAUCUGAGCAAGUUGAAAAGCCUCCAAGUCCUAGUGGGAGCCAAGUUUCUUGUAGGUGGUAGCGGUGGUUUGAGAAUGGAAGAUUUGGGUGAAGUAGAGAACUUGUAUGGAUCUCUAUCAGUUUUAAAGUUGCAAAAUGUGGUUGAUAAAAGGGAAGCUCUGAAGGCAAAGAUGAAGGAGAAGAAUCAUGUUGAGAAGUUAUCAUUGAAGUGGAGUGUAAGUACUGCUUACGAUUCACAAACUGAAAGAUCCAUACUUGAUGGGCUACGCCCAUACACAAACAUAAAAAAAGUCAAAUUGGCUGGCUGAUCCUUCAUUUCUUCAGCUAGUAAAAUUGUUUCUUAGCAACUGCAAGGACUGUGAUUCUUUGCCAGCACUAGGACAGCUUCCUUCUUUGAGAUUUCCUUUACAUUAGAGAGAUGCAUGGAAUAACAGAGGUGACGGAAGAAUUCUAUGGUAAUUCAUCCUCCAAAAAGCCUUUUAACUCUCUUGAGAAGCUUGACUUUGCAGAUAUGCCAGAGUGGAAGCAAUGACACGUACUAGGAAGUGGCGAGUUCCCUUUACUUGAGUACCUUUCAAUUGAAAAAUGUCCGAAGUUGAUGGGGAAGUUGCCUGAAAAUCUUUCUUCUCUGACAACAUUAAGAAUUUCAGAGACACCUCUUUUUGAGGAAGCUCAACUGUUUAGAUCCCAAUUUGAGGGAAUGAAGCAGAUUGUUGAAUUAGAAAUUCGUGAUUGUAAUUCUCUUACCUCCUUACCUUUUAGCAUACUGCCCAGUUCCUUGAAGAGAAUAAGGAUAUCUCAUUGUCAGAGAUUGAAAUUGGAGGAGCCAGUUGGUUAUUGUAACAUGUUUCUCGAGGAAUUGAAACUGGAUAAAUGUGAUUCUAUAGAUGAUAUAUCACUUGAGUUUCUCCCAAGAGCACGCAAAUUGUCUAUUUCGCGUUGCCAGAACGUUACUAGGUUUUUGAUUCCAACUGCCACUGAAAGUCUCAGUAUUUGGGAAUGUGAGAAUCUUGAAAUACUUUCGGUGGCAGUUGAGUCUGCGAUGACGUCUUUGGAUAUUUCGUAUUGUGAGAAGCUCAAGUGUCUGCCAGAAAUAGAGCUCUUCAAUUUACAAGUCCUUAAGAUCAGUCAUUGCAAGAAACUAGUGAACGGCCGAAAGGAGUGGUGUUUACAGAGACUUCCAUGUCUCACAGAGUUGAUGAUCGAACAUGAUGGCAGUGAUGAAGAGAUCCAACAUUGGGAGUUGCCUUCCUCUAUUAAAAGACUUGAGGUAUGGAAUCUGAAAACAUUAAGCAGCCAAGUUCUCAAAAGCCUCACCUCUCUUCAAUAUCUAUUUAUUGAGGGUAAUUUACCUCAAAUUCAGUCACUGCUGGAACAAGGUGGGCUUCCCUCCUCUCUUUCUGAACUACUUUUAUGGAACCAUGAUGAGCUCCAUUCACUACAUCUUUGCCACCUCACUUCACUUCUAUGUCUACACUUCUUGAAUUGCCGUAAUCUCCAAUCACUCUCCGAAUCAACACUGCCCUCCUCCCUCUCUCAGCUGAUCAUCAUGAAUUUCCCUAAACUCCAAUCACUCUCCGAAUCAACACUGCCCUCCUCCCUCNNNNNNNNNNNNNNNNNNNNNNNNNNNNNNNNNNNNNNNNNNNNNNNNNNNNNNNNNNNNNNNNNNNNNNNNNNNNNNNNNNNNNNNNNNNNNNNNNNNNNNNNNNNNNNNNNNNNNNNNNNNNNNNNNNNNNNNNNNNNNNNNNNNNNNNNNNNNNNNNNNNNNNNNNNNNNNNNNNNNNNNNNNNNNNNNNNNNNNNNNNNNNNNNNNNNNNNNNNNNNNNNNNNNNNNNNNNNNNNNNNNNNNNNNNNNNNNNNNNAUAUUCGCAACUGCCCAUUGCUCACACCACUACUAGAAUUUGACAAGGGGAAAUACUGGCCAAAUAUUGCUCAUAUUCCCAUCAUACAGGUCGAUUGGAAAUACAUGUGAUGAUUAAAACAAAUGGUGCUCCCACUGAUGUAAGUUAUUCUUUUCCCUCAGAAACUUGUUAUUUUUGUUUUCUUCACUUUUCUUUUUUGCUAAUUUUUUUCCUUUUCUUUUUUUAUAUCCUGUUGAGCAGUGUGGAAUGUCUUUUGCUCAAUCCACACCGAAAAUUGCUCAUACUUCCACCAUAAAUGUUGAUUUGGAGAACCUGUAAUGAUUAUCACGAGUGGUGCUCCGAUAGAUAGAUGUAAGUUAUUCUAUUUCCUUAGUAGCUUUCCAUUUUUGGUUAAAUUCUUUUUCUUUGUUACAUCUUUUUUGACCAGUGUGUAGCAUCUAUUGCUUCCGUGAAGUCGAGGAAAUAGCUAUAGAUCAGGAUAAACUCUUUUAUAUUUGCAUUGAGACAUUGUAAAAGAAAAUCAUAUAUCAUAUCAUAUUAUAAGUGGGAAGCCUCUAUGUCAAAAGUUGAAUUACAAAAUGUCCUUGUAAUAUCAUAAUAUUUAUGGACAAAAAUGUAAAUAUAUAUUAAAUAUAAAUAAAAACUAUUGUAUUCUAUUAAACACUAUUAUUACAUAUUUAUGAACAAAAAUAUAAAUACACAUUAAUUAUAAUAAAUAUCAUAAAAUAUUUAUAAUAAUAAUAUUAUAUUCUAAAAAUGGAGAACUCACAAUCUUUGGCAUGAAUUAAUAUAGAUACAAUGAAUAUUUGUACAAUUGGAUGAUAUCCUAUUAAAUGACAAAAGAAAAUCAAAAGUUUAGGAACAAUUAAAAUGACCCUUAAGUGUACCUCAAUUACUCCUACCGUGCAAAGGUAUAAAAAUUUUCAGAUGAAUUAUAUUCAAAAAAUUAUAUUAAAUGCUAAGUAAUUGCUUCAAUAAAUACUUACUAUGAAAACUUGCAAUCGUUGAACUUUUGAUUUUCUUCUAUUAUAAUUAGCACAAACUAAUGAUGAAUAAUAUACUUGGUAAAUUAGUUAAAUUUAUCUUAUAUAAAUGGACAUUUAGCAUAUGCAUAAACUUUCACUAUUGGAUAUAUAUAUAUAAUUCUAUACUUAUUAAGCUCCCAAGUUAAAAGUUGAAUUACAAAAAUACCCUUCAACUAAAAAAAGAGAUUUUUUAAUAAAUGGUUGUAAUAUAAUUCUAUACUUAUUACGCUUUAAUUGUUUUAUAUAAUAAAAUAAUAAAUGGAAAAUGAAAAAAACCAAAGAGACGAUGAUCAGAUAAUAAUUUUUGAUACUUUAAAACUUUUGGUUUUUUUAUGUUAGAGAAAAGAACCCUUUCCUUUCUUCAUUUACAUUUUUAAAAAAAAUAGACCAAUAACUCUCUAAAUUAUCUAAUCUUUCCUCUUCCCCAAUUUAUUACUCAAUUAAAUCUUAAGUUAUAUAUAUUGAAUGAAAGAUGAAAGAACUUCCUGAAUAUACCGUUUCAUAUUCCUUUUUUGUGCACUUAUAUAAUUUAUAUAAAUGCAUAUUAUCAUAUAAGAUAAUAGGGUUGCUUCACUUCAGUUGCAACAUAAUAUUAUGAUAUAUUCUUUUGCCUCAUUUUCUUUUCAUUGCUUUAAUUUAUUUUUUUCUGUUUCAUGUCUGAUGUAGUGUAUUUCUUUGCUUAUAACAGGUCAUUUAGGUGAAUACUUUUUCUUCCAUAUUAUUCUUAUUUGUAAAAUAUAAGGUAUGUGCGUUUAUAUUCUCAUUCAUUCCUAUUUUUUUAAUAAUGUAGAUGCAUUCUUGGUGAAUUAUUUUGUUUUACUGUUUAUGGGGUUUCAUAAUUGGAGUGGUAGUUCCUUCAAAGAAAUAUUAGUAAAAGACAUUCCAAAAUAUCGUGAAAAAGACAUAUUUAGAGUUGAUUUAUAUUGUAAGCACAUUUGAAUGUUGCAUAUGAUUGUUGUAGUCCUCCUUUCUCAUUUUUUUAUUUCCAUUUCACUCUUAAAAAGAUAACAAUGAUUUUUUUUCCUAAUGUAAUCACUAUUCCUUUGCCUUCUUUUAAAAGUGAUAGUCAAUUCAUGAUUUUAUAAAAAUAACUACAAAUAGUUAAUUUACUUUGUAGUUUUAGUGAUAAUGUUUGGUUAUUUUUUAGAGUGUGCAAUUUAUUUUUACCAUUAUAAAUAAAUUACAUACGCUUUAAAUUUAUUGUAAUACAAUGUAAAUUACCUUGGUUAUUAUUAAUUAUUUUUAUUUUCCAUCUUCCUAUGUAUUAAUUUUUCUCAUAAUCUAUUUAUCUUCCUUUGCCUCAAAACAUUGUUAUCAUAUAUAUAUGUUAUUAUUUUGUUUCUUUUGUUUACUACUCUUCACCAUGCUACUAUAUCUUAUGUGUCAAUUUAGUUAUCAAAUUUUUUUUCCAGGUAAAAUAUUAAUGACCCAUGAAAUUUAUUCUUGAAAAGCUCGGUGUUUUCUUGAUCUAUUUCCAAAGUUAUUAUAUAGAUCUUAAGAGUAUUGAAUACUUAUCUGUUAGAUUGAAGCAAAUUACUCUGAAUUUUAUUACAUCUACAUCUUUAUCUAUUAAACUUAAAUUUGACCUUUCUAUAGCAAUCAGUUGAUUAGUGCUUUGUUAAUAGUAACUCUCUGAUGGGAUGUAAUUUAAGCAUUUUCCCUUGAUUUUGUGGCAGAGCAACACUAUUAUAUUAUAUAUAGAUAUAGCACAUUUGCAUCAUAAGAGCACCUAGACUAUUCUACAAAAUGAACUUGUAAUUUUCUAAAAGUGGGAACAAUCUAAGUCAAAAGUUGAAUUACGAAGAUACUUUUUGACUAUUAAUUUAUUUUCUUAAGAUCAUUUAAAAAAAAUAUUUUUCCAUUUAAAAUCAACUUCAUAACUACACCUCUUCAUUUUCCUAACUUAUCAUCUUAUGAUCAUAAAUAAACAAUAAAUAAUAAAUAAUAAGAAUAAAAAUAAAAAUUUAUUAAAAGUAGAAAACUCAAAAAUUUAAAGUUGGAUUACCAUUUUACUCUUAUACUAAAUAAAAAAGUUAUAAAAUAUUUUAAUAAUUAAAUAUUAAAUAAUAAUCAUAAAUUAAUUUGUCAUUUUUCCUUCACAUAAAAAAGGGAAAUAAAACUUUUAUUAAAUUAGUAAAUAUAGUAAGUAUAUAUAUAAGUACGACCACAAUAUUUUAAAAACUGAAUUAUCAAAAUGUCCAUAAAAUGUUGAAUGACAUCAAUAUCCUUCAAUCAAAUAUUAUUCCUAUAAUAAUAUUGUACAUGGAUUUAAAUAUAUACUUAGUUCAAUGCAUUAGGCUAUUGAAUAUAUAUACACGAAAAAACCCAUUAAUGUUUUGUCAUUUAUUUAACUCUUAUUUAUGUUUUUUUCUUUCUUGAAGGUAAGUCUAUCUUCUAAUAAAUAAAAAUAAAUAAUAAUAUAGCAAAUGAAUGACCUAGAUAAAUUAAAGACAUAGAGUUAUGUGUAUUCAAUUUCUGUAAAUGCUUUAUCUUCCGAUUCUUAAUGCGAAAAGUAAAAUAUCUCUUUGUAGUAAUAAACAUAUGGAGAAUUGAAAAAGUUGCUUGGUAUAUUCAAUGCGGAGUAAUUCAUUUGAUCAAUUCAAUACAAUAUAUUCAUUUACUAAAAUGUUAUAUAUUGUGUAUAUAUAGUGAAAAAUCACAAGACAAUUAUUUCAAUUCAUCAAAUUAUUAGAUUAUCAAUCCUACUUUGUGUAGCGACAUUUUUUCAUAUUCAUUUUGUGUUUGUGUCUCUCUUUUCUACUUCUGCUUAUGUACUCUAUUUUUUCUAUUCAUAUUAUAAGUUAUUGUCUUUAAUUUGACUUAUUCAUAUAUGUUUUCUGAUUAGUUGAAAGUUCAUUUUACUUGGGUAUGCAAACAUUUGUAUCAUAGUUAUUUCACCUCUUGCAACAUAGAAAUUUAUCAUAGAAAUAUCAAAUCAGAUAAGAUUACUUUUUUUUUAAGUAUCUCCUUGGAGUAUCAUGAAACUAUAUGUUCUUGUUUAUGUAAUUUUGGUUAGGAAUCAAUUUACAUAAUUUAACUUAUAUUUUUUUUGUUUAAUUUACAUAAGAUAGAACUAAUAAUUUUGAAUUAGGCAAGGGGUACACGACCUAUAACAAUUAUGAUUUAUAUACAUCGAUUAGAUAUUUGAGCAAUUAUUAUUUUUAUCACUAAUAAUAACUAUUUUUUUUGUAGGUGUACACCAAAAAAUUGACAAUGAUCCACUAGCUAUCAUAAGAAAUGUAUGUGUUGAUCGAAUUUAUAUGCACUUUUUACAAAACACAAAUCACAUUCGAUAACAAUUUCUUGACCUGUAUGUGAUUGUAAUAAGGUGGAGGCUACAAUUUCUAGAAAGAAGGCAAAAAUUUUAGAACAUGAAAUAUUUUGAACCAAUAAGAGAUACUUAAAUUAUGUGUUGUGACAUAUUAACAAAUCUUUUAUCAAGUUGAAUACUUGAUAUAUUAAAAAACACAUAAUUAAAAGUGUUCGAAUAUUACUUUUGAAAUUCACUUGAUAGCAAUAUUUUAGCAUUAUGUACCUUCUAUUGAUAAUAAUCUUGAUUGAAUAGGCUCACCAUUAAUUGAUUUGAGCUUGUAGAUUUUCUCUUCAAUUACUAUGCAAGUUAUCGCACAAUGUUCAUCUUCUAGCCAUCUUAAGGAAGACAUAGAUUGAUCAAAUUUCUAUAUAACUUUUGCAAAACACUACUCUUAUUUGACAAAAACUUCUUAUAAAUACAUGCAAAUCUUCAAUUUUUGUGCAACUUAUCACACUAAUUAUAAUGUUUCCAAAGUUCUUGUACUAAUAAAGCAUGAGAUACAUGGGCAACAUACAUGUUCAAGCAUACAGUGGCGAAUUUACUGCCAAAAAAUAGGGCACCCGCACCCGUGGUCUCUUCGUAAAAUUAGAUAUUUUAUAUGUAUAUUUUUUAAGAUUUUAUAUAAUAUUAUAUUCUUGCACCCGUACUACGAGAAGUCUAAAUGGUCCACGUGGUUAAAUGUUGAGCUUCUAUUUUACCCCUACAUUAAAUAAAAAUGUUAUAAGCUAUUAAUAAAUUAAAUAUUAAAUAAUAAUUAUAUCAUACUAUUAUAUUAUUAUACUAAUGCUAAUCAGUAUAUACCUGCUUGUUAAUUUUAUCCAUUUUUGGCUUUUGAUUUUCUUCCUAAUCUAGAUUACUCUCCCAUUACCUAUGAACAUUCACUUAUUGCUAUAAUAAUAAUAUUAAAGAAGGUGAAUGAAGAGUUGCACAAUAUUAAUUAUGAGAAAUGUUCACUUAUUGCUCCAACAAUAAUAAUGAUGAAUAAGGAAAAUGAAGAGUUGGGGUAAUUUCUAUCCAAGUCAAUAUUAUAUUUGUGUAGCAAAGAGGUCAUCCAAUGGUUAUAUAGCAAAAAUGCAUGAUUGUUAAAUAAACUUUUCAUUUCACUCUAAAUACAUUAGUUGAUCACUAAUCACUUUCAUUAUAUUCUUUUAUUUUUUACAGGAGAAAAAUGUACGUGUACAUUCUAAAACUUCAUACGAAGCUUGCAAUGUGAUGGGAACGGAUGUUUAAAAUCUUUGUGGAGAUUGAAAUUCAUCUUUUUAUAAAGAUGGCCUUCUAACAAGCAUAAUAAGUAACUACUAUAUUUUCAUGUUUUGACAACUUCUCUUUUUAUAUUUCCUAUUAAUGAUUGUGACAGCUUUUAUAGGAUAUGUCCUACCUUGGGAUUAGAUGAGCUUUUGGGGAGCUACAGUAAUCACAAGCUUAGCUAGCGCCAUGCCUGUAGUAGGAGAAUUAGCCGCCUUAUUUAUGGAUUUUCCUCUGGUAUUGGGGAAUGGGGGGGCACCCCUACAAGACUUUAAUCUAAACAUGAUGCCUGAUUUGAAUCUACCUGCGGAACCCGAGCCCUAUCAACCACUAUUUCCCCAGGUUCCUCUUGGGACUCUGUCCUUAGAGGAGCUAAUUUUUAAGCAAUUAUUGAAGGAAUUCAACAAGUUUUCACUGAUUUACAUACUUUGGGUAAGUGAGAUGGAAACUCUCUUCUUCCUUUCUUUGUCAUUUCACUUAAUUAUGUUAUGUAAGUUGAUCAUCGAAAAGGUGCUACAUUUAUCAUUCUUUCAUUAAAUUUAUUCCUCUUAUUUUAUUAGAGCUUAGUUUUUCUUGUUUCAUAUCAUACCUAGCUAGCUACAAUCUUUGGAAGAAAAUUAUUAUAGAUAAUUAUGAUGGUCAUAUCUAAGUAUGUUGAUUACCUAAUUUUUUCUUGCAUGCACGUUAGUAAUGUUUAGGUGCACUUCUUAAAUUUAGAGCAAGAGUUCCUUGAUAUGUCAUAUAUCAUCAGAUGCUAUAUUAUUUUAAUUAGUGUUACAUAAUUCAACAUAUCUUAUUUUCCAAAACAAAUAACUAAAAGUUAAAUGAAAAGAAUUAGUUGUCACCCUUGUAUUUGUAUAGAGAAACAUAUAUUUAGAUAUUUUAGUCUAGAAGAUUAUAUUUGAAAUCCUUCUUUUCAUUUAUUUUUGGAUGCAAAAGUAAGCUUUAUAUAGAAACAUAUUAAUCAAUACAAGAUUUAUCAUAUUUAUAAAAAUAUAAUGUGAUAAAUAUUUAUAUCAACAUGAUAUUAGACUUAUAUAAAUUUUAGAUCAUAAUAGAAGACAAACGUGCAGCGCACGUUUUCAGAACUAGUCUAGUAUAGGUAGGAAUUGAGAUAAUUUGCUCCAGAAAGUUGGUUGUUUAAUAUAUAUCAGCAGGAUGUUUAUAGCAAUUCAUUUAUGAUCUUGUGAUGAAUCUCACUCUUCAUCUUAGUUGGCUAUUACGACUCACUUUUCUUGUCUAUUAAUAUAUGUUCUCUCUCAAAUCUUGUAGACUGAAAUAUCUCCACCAUAGAAGUCGAUGGAGAAUACAUUUAAUGAUUAAAGCGAAUGAUGCUCUCACAAAUGUAAGUUUUUCUUUGUCCUCAGAAGCUUUCUAUUUUUGUUUACUUCCCUUUGCUUUUCCUUUGCUAAGAUCUUCUUGAGCAGUAUGGAGUAUCGAUUGCCACUAUGAAGUCGAGAAAUCAUCUUCAGUUCGAGAGAAAUUUAAUUUUAGAUAACCAAAAAAAAAACAAAGGUGAAAAAAUCUUUAUAUUCGUGUGGGAACAUUGUAAAACGAAAUCUAGUAUACAUAGGAAUUAAAAUAAUCUGCUCCACAAAAUCUUGUUCUUUCCGUUUUUAGUGAGUUUAGAGUUAUGCACAUGUUCACUAUUGAAUUCAAAGCUUUAAUAGAAUUCAAAGGUGUACAAUACACAAGGUUUGUUUCCUAUCUAUCAAAAAUAUAUAAAAGGGUGCUCUGACAAAUGUAAGUUAUUAUUUUCCCUUAGAAUCUUUUUGUUUUUGUUUUCUUCACUUUGCUUUUUUAAAAUCUUGUUGAGCAG